UUAUAUUGGAGGUAAUUUCACCAUCAUAUAUAUAAAAUAAUAAAAUUUUAAAAAUUAUUUCUCAACUGCAUACAACCAAACAAAUUAUUUAUACUUGCAGCGCUUUCUACUACAUCCAACCAAACAUAAUUCAUGUAGUUGUAAUUGUUGUAUUUCCAACUGCAUGUAUCUCUAACUACACUGCAUUUAUAAUUACAUCUAACCAAACGGCUUAUUAUAGAAUUUUUAUUUUCAGGCGUUAAAAAUUAUUGAUUUUGAAUCCUUUCGAUUACUAAGUAAAUGAUAUCGAAAAUCGCAAAAAUUAUUUUCUAAAAACUUCAAAUACGCUAGAUCAAGUCUAACGGAGCCGAUCGUCGAUUCGAAAAUUCCAUCAUCGAAAACGGCUCAAGAGCACGAAGGCUCCGUGCUCCUGAGAGCACAGCAGUCCUGCUCACUAUAUAUAUAUAUAUAUAUAUAUAUAUAUAAUAUACUAUAUGAGUAUAUUAUAGAUCUAGGAUACUUUACAAAGUAUCAUCCCCAUGUUGCUAUCCCGUUUUUAGGCCAUGGAUCUACUUUUGAUUACAAAUAGCCCUUGGAUCCAAACACUAUUUCACCUACACCACUACCACCACCUACCACCAUCAUCUCAACCUCACAUCUCUCCAUCCAAGGCUAAAAACACACAAGUACACUUGGUGUAUACUUGUAAAGUAAUUCUAGCCCUAACUCUAUAUAAUAUAUUAUAUUAUAUAUAUUAUAUAUAAUUAUAUAUAUAUAUAAUAUAAUAUAAUAUAUAUAUAUAUAUAUAUAUAUAUAUAUAUAUAUAUAUAUAUAUAUGAGCUCCUAUGCUUUUAAAAGUACCAAGUCAUUGUGUUUGUAAGUUUUCGGCCCUUGGAUUAAGGGAUGUGCGGUUAGGAUGAUGUGGCUCUCUAAGGUUGAGUAGUGUUGGUUGAAAUAGUAUAAUCCAACGAUAAAAAUGAUUAAAAGAGAGAUCUAACGUAAAAAAUUUACAAGGCAACCAAGUUUUUGUGCUUUUACAAGCACCAUAGCCGGACUAUAUAUAUAUAUAUAUAUAUAUAUAUAUAUAUAUAAUAUAUAUAUAUAUAUAUAAUAUAUAUAUAUAUAUAUAUAUAUAUAUAUAAUAUAUAUAUAUAAACUCAUUUAGAUGGUUGGAUAUAGCAUUUUUGUAUUUUUUAAUAGGAUUAAUUGAGCUCCCUAUAAAUAUAUUGAAUAGCAAAUAUAUUUCUAUAAGUUCAGUUUUUUAUUUUUAUUCAUGUAGAAGUCCAGUGAUAUUCAUAUUUGCCCCUUUGAUUUGGUACCGUUAGAGCACUGUUUAAUUUCUAACAACAGUUAAGUGAAAUGAUAUUUUUUUCUUAUCCCUCCAAAAGCCCCAACUGCUAUAUUUAUUCCUCUCAAAAAAGUAUUUUAUCUAAUAAUAUAAUAGGGGUAAAAAGAUCAGUUUAACUCAUUCAAUAAUGAGGGUUAAGUACUUUACUCGUGAUUAAUUAUAUUUUUCUAAUGGAUCUUAAUAGCAUGGAUAUAUUUGUUUUGUACGAAUAAAAAUAAAAAAUUGUGCUUUGUAUGGAUAUAUUUACUAUUCGAUAUGUUUGCAGGGAGUAGUUGUAUGCUAUUAACCCUUUUUAAUAUAUAUGCUCCUUAAAGAUAGGUUAUCCUACAGGUGGAGGGAUGAAUUUUAUAUCCAUCAAAACUAUGAUCUCUUUAGGCCCUUUUUGAUAACAGAAAAUAUUUAGAACGAAAUAUUUUAUUUUUCAAAUUUUACCAAAAAAAAGUUAAAAAUAGGGAUGCAAACGGGAAUCAGCUGGAUUGGUGGAGCUCCCACUUCGAUUUGCUCCAAAUAAGGCAGUAAACGGGAAAAAAAUAAACUGAUGCGAGAUAGGAAACAUGAUAAUUUUUAUGAUCGAGGCGGAUUCGGGCAGGAAACGAAAAAAAUUUUGAUCCGCUCCAAAUCCGCCACGAAUCCGCCCCGUCAUGAUCCGCUCAAAAUCCGCUGCGAAAACCGUUUAUAUUUUAAGAAAAUAUCCCUAAAAAUAAGAUAUUUACAAAAAAAUCACAAUACAAAUAAAUUGAUACUCUCAUUUCUCAUGUAUUUGAAACUUUUAAAUUUUGCUUCGAAUUGUAAUUGAUAUUUUUUAUUUUUAUAAUUGAUGUUGUUAAUUUUAUAUAUAACUCAGUAAUAUUAUUUAUUAUUAUUAAAAAAUUAUUAAUUUAUAUUUUACAAAAUAUAUUAUAAUUUUUUUAAAAAAAUAUUAAUUAAUAUGGCGAAUUCGGAGCGUCGGUGGAAGAUGGGUUAUGAAAUUUUGGUAGUCCGGUGUGGGAGGCGCGGUGGGUCUCCGGCCCCCAAAUCCACCCCACUUGUAUCUCUGGUUAAAAAUAACAUAAAUAAAUAAUUUCGGUCAAAGUGGGAAAUUCUAGUUUAUCAUGCCCCCACCUACCUCCUAUUCAUCGCCUCCCCCAAAAGCUUCGUCUCCCUUUCUCUCGCUCCACUUAACUCCAUUUUCUUACCUAAUCUUAACCUCCCUGAAAAACUUUAUCUACCUCUCCCUCUCUCAUCUUCAUGGACGGAGCUAUUAAUAGACCCAAAGGGGCCGUGGUUUCUCUCAACUUUUCAAUAUUUAGUUUAUAAUCUUUUGGUAGCUUAUAAAUUUUUAGUUAAUUUUUAAAAUAUAUGAACAUAUUUUGUAAAAAAUAUUUAGUACUUAGUAUAGGGCUCUCUUUUUUCUUAUGUGUUUUAUAGGUAAAAAUACGCUAAGAACCUCUUAAUUAUAGUGCAUUUUAUUAACAAAAAUUUAAAUUCUAACUAAAUUACUAUUAGAUUUAGUAAAAUUCUUAAGUUAUUUGAUUAGAAUAAUGUAAAUAAAAUAAUUAGAAUUUAAGCGAGUGUAAGUUAACGAAAUAAAUUUAAUACUUUUUAACAUUAAUUAUCUAAUCACUAAAUUUUUUUUAUUAAGAAUUUGAAUAAUUAAAAUCUUAUUUAUUGUUAAAAUUUUUAUUUGUAUAUAUUUUGGCCGCCCUCGUGAUUGAAUCCUCGCUUCGUCCCUGCUCGUCUUCACUUCGAACUCUCAAAUCCUACAUUUCUGGGUAGGAAGCCGGUGCUUUCUCUUUUAUUUUUACUCCAUUUCUUCUCUAGAAUUCAUCUUCAUUAUCUUCCCUCUUUACAAAUUUAUGUAAUAUUGCUUAUAUUACAAAUUUAAAUACAAUUUAUUCGAACAAAAUAUUUCAUAUAAGUUAUUAUCUAUGUUACGAACACAGGUUCAUAGUAUUAAAGGGCAAUAUUGGUAUUUAAAUUUGUAAUAUAAGCAAUAUUACAUAAAUUUGUAAAGAGGGAAGAUAAUGAAGAUGAAUUCUAGNNNNNNNNNNNNNNNNNNNNNNNNNNNNNNNNNNNNNNNNNNNNNNNNNNNNNNNNNNNNNNNNNNNNNNNNNNNNNNNNNNNNNNNNNNNNNNNNNNNNUCAAUUUAAGAUCGGAGUUAUUGAUCUUUAUCUAGGUAGUGAAUAGAAUUUUCUAUCAAAAAUUCAACCUUCUCGGAUUUUUUUGCACCAUUAAACUAGCAAGUGUUCCAUACCAGCCGUUAAAAAUUGUCAAUUUUGUGAGCUUUUGAUCGUAAAGUAAUGAUAUCGAAAAAUUAUAAAAUUUAAUUUUUAGAUAUUUUAAAUGCUCUGUGACACCCCAAUAGUCCCAUAUCGGAUGGGAAUGGGGUUGUCAUUGGGUUUAUAAGAGACUUAGACACUNUCAAAUUUAAUUAAUUUAUAUUAUAUAAUAAAAUUUAAGUCUAAAUAUAUUAUCAUAAAAAUAAUAUUUAUAUUAAUAUAUUUAUUUAUAUAUCUAUUUAUCUAAUAAAAUAAAGAUAAGAAUAAAGUUGUUCUCAGUUUUUCUAGGGACAAUUUUUAGCGGGUUGUUCCAGAACAAUCCAGAACAACCUGUUUUGACCAGAACAAUCCGUUUCCUCCUGUUCUUUUACCGCAUGGUUAUAAUUUAGGGAACAUCCUGUAUUGUUCCGAAAUAUCCUCGGUACCAACCGCAGCUGAGAGAACAAGGUUACCAUCCUAGAGAGGGGUACGUGGAGACGAAUUAGCGCUCUAUGGUUUCGAUCUCGUCCUUUUCCUCCUUAUCUAAAGCCAGAAGCUGGGAAAAAGAGGGAAAAAAAUAAAAAAUAAAAUAAAAUAAAAUCUCCCUUCGGAUUUACUCGGCCAUGUAUGAUUGGGCUGGGCCAGUAAUGAUGCCUUGGGCGAGCCGGUCCAAUUAAAGAAAAUGAUAGCUUGGGUCCGGGCCAGAACUUCCAGUGCCUUUGAUUUUAAGGCCCCGACAAACUCGGUGUACCGGAUUGGACGAGUCGCGUUGGUGGGUCACUGGGUCGAGCCAGAUUUGCUCGAGCCUAAAUUAUCUUGCAUGCGUGAUAGCUAGUGCACCAGCAAAUAUGUAAGUACUCCGAGCAGAAGAUUCCUCUGCAAAUGCCUCGCCCUCAACUCAUCCAAUCGGGGGGAGUCCGCGAAGGCAACGAAAAAUUGUCAGGUGAAAUUUUGUUGUUGCCCUUUAAUGUAAAAGACCCAAAACUCUCCUCAUGGAUCAGUAUCCUGUUUUCACUGGCCAGUAUUCAGAGCAGGAGCAUUAAAAAAAUGUAACCCCAAAUCCAACCUGCUGAAUCUAUUCCCGUACUUGUUACUUGGCCCAUGCCUCCGUAAAAUGGCAUAUUGUUUUGCAUAAAUAUCUUUUAGGCCCGUUUGAUUUAACGUGAAACUGUAAAAAGUAAUUUUUGGUUUUUUUUUUUUUUUUUAACGUUUUGUAGUGUUCGGUGUGUAGGAAAAAAAUAAUUUUUUAUCAAUAUUUGUGAAACAAUCGUUGUACUCUAAAAAUUUAAGUUGUUAGAGAACGGUAUUUAUAUAUUUUUCUAUAUUUAAUAUUUUUCUUAACAUUCCCUCUCACAUCUGGGCUCAAGAUUUUCCCCUCACAUCUGGACUCGAGAUUUUUGUAAUGCCCAUAGCGUGAACUUAAAUUAAAUGAAAGAAAAUUAAUAAUCUUAACACUCCCCUCACAUCUGGGCUGUGAGCUUGAAUUUUUUGCAAGGCGUAUAACGUCAAGCUUAAAUUAAAUGAGAAAAAAUUAAUAAUUUUAACACUCUCCCUCACAUCUUGGCUCGAAAUGACUUAAAUUAACUUAGAGAAAAUUAAUAAUGUUAGAAGUCUAGCAUGACUCGAAAUCAGAAUCUUCUGCUCUGAUAUUAUAUGAAACAAUCGUUAUACUCUAAAAGCUUAAAUUAUUAGAAAAUAAUAUAUAUAUAUAUAUUUUUUAUUUAACACUCCCCUUAAUAACAUUUAUUUGGUUAAAAGAAAAAAAAAUCCACACUUGCUUGGUUCGGUCGAAAAAAAAUGUUUGAAAAAAAUUUUACGCAGUUUAAAUUUUCGUUUUUCACCAAAAAAUAGCAAAAAAAAUAAAAAUUUCAAUUUUUUCUAUAUUCGUAAAAAUACAUGCAUGAAAAGAUAGUUUUACGUCAAGCCAAAUAAGCGGAAAAGUAUUUUUCAUACCAAAAAUAAAUUUUUGGUUCAUCUUAGGCGAACCAAACAUCCCCUUAGUGAAAAACAAUUUCACAUAUUUUUAGUGAAACAUAUCUUUGUGGUUUGUUUUAUAGAAAAAUAUUUUUUUUUUGAGAAAUAUUUUAUAGAAAAAUAUUAUCUGUACACCUCAAAAAGAGAAAGCAUAUUUACACACUAAAGUUUUGAAUUUAUAAAUUUUAAUUUUAAUAUUAUAGAAAAAUUGACAAGGCAUGCAUAGGAGUGAUAUAGAUCCUUAGACAAAGGAGCCUAAGAUUUACUCUUUUGUUUUUGGAUAUAUAAAUCUCACUGUUCUUUUCGAUACGAAUGCGCAACUUCUUUUUUUUUUUUUUUCACUCUUUCUUGAGGCCUUGGAUACUUUAUUCUUGUAGCUUAAUUCACUCUUUUUAUGAAUAAUUAAAGUGAGUAGCAGGCUAUCUUCUUUUUCAAAAAAAAAAAAUGUGCAACUUAAAGUGAAAACUUUUUCCCCUCACUUUCCGUCUCUCUCAACCUAUUUUCUUUUUCUGCAAACUGACCAAUUACAUGUCUCAAACUUUAUCUCGGCCAAAGCAACUAGAAAAAUAAAUGUAAUAUUUUUCAAUGAAAGAAUGAAUUUUCUCAUGGAAAGUGCUUUUAAUAGUUUUCUUUUAAAUCAAAAUAGCUAAUUAAUGAGUUAUACGGAGAUAUUAAAUGUGGAUCGGAUCACGAUCUGAGACUUGUCACUUGGGCAAGAACCAGUAUCUAAAUCUUUCAUAGACAACACCAAUGUUUUCUUUUUUGCCCUACUAGCUAGGUGUGGUUAUUGGAGUGAACCCAUUAACUAAUCGCCACAAAACACUACCUAGUUAAGAAUAGGUUGUUGUUACAUAUCCAAAACAAAAACUAAUCGUUUUUUAGUACAGGUCAGGCCAUUAAAAAAAGUGCUGUACUUAAACUACAAAAAAUAAAUGCCAAAUCAAGGAAAUGUGAAACAGGCCAGAUUUGAGCAGAACUAGAUCGAAGUAGAUCGAGAUUCUUCGCCUGGCCCUGAGUUACAAAUGGUAACUUAAAUGCCCAUGUGAUUGCUGCAACAUUGUCCCUGUCCCCAUUGUCAAUUCAAUCCGAGAAAUUACUGGCUCUGCCGCGCCAUAACUAAGUCCUAUAUAUAUACUGGAACACUUGUAUGUAUGAGUUUUACUACGUACGUACAGAGGUUCCAAAAAUCAUAAUAUAAUAUGUUCUUCAAUAUUUGAAGAGAUCUAGCUAUCUAUAGAUUGAGAGUCACAUAUUUUAGAUAUCGAAUUCUUAGCGAUCGAACAUUGAUUUUUGGGCUGCUCGAUACCUUUGGUAAUAGAAUUACUAAAAAUUUACAAGUUUUUAUAUACAUAUUCUUUGAUUAUUGCAUGUUGUACGUAUAUUAUAAAUGUAGAAUGAAUUAAGUUAGAAUAUUUUGGACAAUAAUAUUCACUGUAUACUUUUUAACAAUUAGAUAUCUAGUCUAGGAUUUAAUAUUGGUAGGUAGAAGUAGAACAACAUUAAUGUAGAAGGUUAAUUAGAAAGUUGAUUGAAAAAAAAAAAAAAAUUAUUUACUGUCAAUUAAUAGUGUUCUAGAUAAACUCAAUGUAUAUGGUGCAUGAGAUGUACGAAUGCACGUGGUGUAUGCAGUAAUUUCUGAUAAAAUUCGGCCCGAGUCCGCAUAGGCCGAGGUGGUUGGAUCCUCUUAAAUGCCACGUGUCUCCAGAGGAACCCCGACCAAAAAGAUCCCAAGAUUGAGCUGCACCCAAUGGGGACUCCAGUACAGGAUCUCAAAUAUGGUUUUUGGUGCGUGGUGAGUUAAAAAAAAUGGAGAAGCGCCUUGGCUCAAGAGGAGGGGUCGACGGAGACAGGGAUAAGGUGAGGAGGAACUUAAAUGAGCCAUUAAUGGCUCCCAAUCCCAUUUGCUAAAGCAUGGUGAGAAAUUUAAUGCCCUCCAUUAAUUUAUUUUUAUGGUACCUCUCAUUAGAAGUUUUAGGCUUUUAUCUCGUCGUGUUAUUUCCAUACUCUACUGAGUUUAGAGUUCUACAUUGCAUCCAUCCAAGAGUUAAUAUAGGUUUUUUUUUAAAUUUUACUGUUUAAAAAAUAGGAUUGUAAUAUGACUAACGAUCGAGCUGAUAACAUUAGGCGUCUUUCUUUUCCUUUUGAAAGAGAAAGAUAGCAUAACUCAAGUUUUUGGUGCGAUCGCUCGAGAUUUGAGACAGUUGAAUUUUACUAAAAUAGUUUCAUUAGCUCCGGUAAGUAUUAUAAAUAGUAGUAGAUAAGAUUAUGCUAUAGUAGGGUAUCUAAAAUAGACCAAAUUAGUAGAUUGUGUCUCACAUAUAUACUUUCUUAAAAAAAAAGGAAACAUACUGAUUAUAUCAAAAUUAGAAAGAAUCCAUAAUUUUAGUUCGCCAUGGGUAGGGACAUUAUUGCCGAUUUAAUAAUUUCUAGACGUUUUUUUUUUUUUCUUUUAAAAGAGAAAGAUAGCAUGUUAUCUCAAAUAAAUUUUGAACUCGAGUCUUCAAAUAUGAACUAUCAAAUUUUUAGUCAACGGUACUAGAUAAAUUGGGGUCUACUACUUUGAACACUCCAAAAUAAAUAUUGCGUUAGGAUUGAGCAACACGUGGCUUAGUGUGCUUAAAUAUUCGGGGCCCAGUGUUUUGGAUUUUACCGGACGUUCUAGUUGAAGUGCAUAUAUAUGUAACUCGGUCGAUCAGUGGGUCAAGGGGAGGAGUAAAUGCUCUAACAUUUGUGAUCCUCUCCCUCCUUGUGAAAGGGCUCCGAUUAAUGGAGAAUUAAACAUUGAUGGUUCCCUUUGGCCACACCCUCAACUAUCAACUAUAACUAGAAGUAUAGGUUUUGGGAAAUUGUGUUUCUUCCAGUUGUGCAUAAAUGAUGUACCAAAUCACUCGAUUUGGAUUAUAUGUAAGAUCCAUGUAUAUGCCACACUAAUAUUUUGGCAAUUUUGCGAUAAUUGUUAGAGCUGGUGGGAAGUAUGAACAUCUUAUUUAUCAUAUAUAACUCCUUAAAUUGUUCAUCUGUGAUAAUUAUUAGCUCAUGUUAAAAUCUCAAAGAUGAUUAUAAUAUUAAUUACAGACUCUUAAAUCGUAUUUUUGAAAUAUAGCAGAUCACCAAACAGAUGGUACAAACGAUUACAAUCUCAAAAUAAGCAUCAGAUGAAACUUCUGAGUGAUAAUCGCCAAAAAAAAAAAAAAAAAAAAAAAAUCUGUAUCAUAUGAAUGAUUAAGCUGUCAAAAUAACUGACAAAUACAACUUUUGAACUGUAAUUGUAAAAAAAAAAAGCCCUAUUGUAACGAUACGUGGUUCAAGAUGUGAUCAUUCAAAUUAAUUGGUCAUAACGAAAUAAUUAAUAAAUUCUCUUUGGAUAAAAAAAAAAUAAUUAAUUUAUAAAGGAGCGGAGGGAGUAAUAAAUGCAUUAAUGUUCAAGAUGGUGAGAAGGACGUACUUACUAAAAUUAAAUAAUUAUAAGGUACCUUUCAAUGUGAUGUGAUGUAGCAUGUAUAAAUACGAAACAUAGGCCUUGCCUGACCAUAUUCAAUUGCAUUAAAUUAACAUCACACUCGGCUACUUAAAUUGCAGUGCGGUUCGAAGAGCAAACCAAAGUUUGGCAUGCAGUCCUUAGACACGACAUUUAAAGCAGGAACCUGAAGAAAGUUUAUUAAAGGGAAAACUUUAAAAAAUUCCUCUGUGGUUUCGUAUUUUUUUAUUUUAAUAUUUCGUAGUUUAAAAUGUAUUAAAUUAGUAUCAUGUGGUUUUAUAUUUUCUCACUUUAGUAUUCUGUGAUUUAAAAUGUAUCAAGAUAGUAUUCUGUGGUUUUAUUUUUGUAUCAAGUUAGUACCUUGUGGUUUUAUUAUUGUAUCAAGUUAAUACCAUAUGAUUUUGUAAAUUACAGGGUACUAAAGUGAGAAAGUGCGAAACCACGGGAUACUAAAGUGAGAAAGUGUGAAAUCAUAGGAUACUAACUUGUUACACUUUAAACCACAUAAUACUAAAGUGAGAAAAGUGAAACCAUAAGGAGGGUAUUUGAAGUUUUCCCUUUAUUAAAUUAGUUUACAAUAAAAGCACAUCAUUUGGAGCGAUUAUAUAUAUAUAUAUAUAUAUAUAUAUAGUUGAGCUAUGAUACUUUUACAAGUAUCACCAUCAUGGUGCUAUUAGGUUUUAAGCCAUUGGAUCUACUUUUUGAUUAUUAAUAGUCCUUGGAUUAAACACUAUUCCACCUGCCACUAUCAUCUCAACCUCACAUCUCUCCAUCCAAGGGCUAAAAACACACAAGUAUCACCCCCAUGAUACUUUUACAAGUAUUCUAGCCCUACUAUAUAUAUAUAUAUAUAUAUAUAUGUAGAGUAGGGCUACUAUACUCUUAUGAGUAUAGAAGCCUUCGUACUCAUAAGUUGUUUUCGAUGAUGGAGCUUCCGAAUCGAUGAUCCACUCCGUUAAAUAUGAUCUAGAGUAUUUGAAACUUCUCGAAAAUAAAUUUUGUAAAUUUUUGAAAUCAUAAUAAAGUCCAUCAAGAAGACAUAAAAUAAACAGUCAAAAUCGAACGACGUCCUAAAAAUGGAUGAUCGGAUCCUUCAAUUUAAGAUCGGAGUUAUUGAUCUUUAUCUAGGUAGUGAAUAGAAUUUUCUAUCAAAAAUUCAACCUACUCGAAUUUUUUUGCACCAUUAAACUAGUAAGUAUUCCAUACCGGCUGUUAAAAAUUGUCAAUUUUGUGAGAUUUUGAUCGUAAGGUAAUGAUAUCGAAAAAUUAUAAAAUUUGAUUUUUAGAUGUUUUAAAUGCUCUAGAUAACGUUUAACGGUGUGGAUCGUCGAUUUGGAAGCUCUAUCAUCAAAAACAACUUAUGAGUACGAGAGUGAUCGUACUCAUAAUAGUAUAGUAGUUAGUUAAGACCGCUCGAUAUUUAUAUUCAUCACCACAUUCUUUUUCUCUUUUACAGCCGGAAAAUGGAAAGAUCAAUCUUUUUAAGUUCAACGGUGUAGAAGUAUCCAAAUUACAUGAAAGUUUAAUAGAAAAUUCUACUUAACAUCAAUAGCAAGAUCAAUACUUCUGAUUUGAAAUUUGAGUCCUUUAUCAUUAUUUUUUAUAAGAUUUUUAUUUUCAGCCGUUCAUUUUGAGACUACUCGUUCACUAGGCAAACGAAGUCAAAAAAUUAUGAAAUUUGGUUUCUAGAUAGUUCCAAUAGCGUAGAUCAUAUCUAAUGGAACUGAUCGCCGAAUCAAACGUCUCAUCAUCAAAAACAACUUACAAGUACGGAGGCCCCGGUACUUUCGAAAGCAUAGGAGCCUACAUAUAUAUAUAUAUAUAGUUGAGCUAGAAUACUCUCAAAAGCACUAUGGGGGUGGUGCUUUUGAGUUUUUAGCCAUUGGAUGGAGAGAUGUGAGGUUGAGAUGAUUGUGGUAGGUGGUGGUAGGUGGAAUAGUGUUUGAUCCAAGGGCCAUUAGUAAUCAAGAAGUAGAUCCAAUGGCUAAAACCUAAUAGCACCAUGGGGGUGAUACUUGUAAAAGUAUUCUAGCUCAAUUAUAUAUAUAUAUAUAUAUAUAUAUAUAUAUAUAUAUAUAUAUAUAUAUAUAUAUAUAUAUAAAUAUAUAUAUAUUUAUAGUCCGGUUACUAUCCUAUUAAUAGGAUUGAGCCAUUGUCCUAUCAAGUCGUUUGAUCGAUCGGAACUAUUCAAAUUGAUAAUCGACACCGUUGAAAUUGAUCUACACAAUUAAAAAUGUUUAGAAACCAAAUUUUUGUAAUAUUUAAAAAUCAUUAUCAAGUUCAUCUUAAGAGGCACUGACAAGUGAUCACUAGACAAAUGAUAUCGAAAAAUCGCAAAAUUUAUUUUCUUAGAUACUUCAAAUACUGUAGAUCAAGUAACGGAGCCGAUCGUCGAUUCGAAAGUCGAACGUCGAAACAAAGUGAAGCACGAGCCCCUCGUGCUUUCAUAAGCAUUUUAGCCGCACUAUAUAUAUAUAUAUAUAUUAUUAUAUAUUUAUAUAUAUAUAUAUAUAUAUAUAUAUAAUUAUAUAUUCUUUAUUCUGUUUGAGUUUUUUUUGCAUUUAGCCCCCUGGCAAAUUUUUAUUUUAAAAAUAGCCUUGUCAAAAUUUAAUUUGCAAAAAUGACCCUAGCCUACACGCAGGGUGCCACUGUCAGCGCCCCGCUGGCGGGGCGGUGCUGGAGGCGGUAGUUAAGUUAAACACGGUGAACCAUUCACUGUGUCUAAACACGGUGAAUGUUCACCGUGAUUUAGUACGGUAUUUUUGUUAUUGAAAGAGAAUAGGAAAUUUGUAUUCCCUCUUCUAUUUUUUCAAAAAUCCGAACCCGAAACCCGAAAAUCAAAUUAAAAUUCAAACCGGAUAAACCCGACGGAUUUAAAAAUUCAUACCCAUAUCCAUAUCCGACCAAAAAAAUUGAAACCGAACCUGAACUUCAGCGGAUUUUUAAAAAUCUAUACCGUUAGAAUGAAGAUCUAAGAAAUAAAAAUUAUUAAAUAUUUUAUAUAUUGUAUAAAUAAAUAAAAAUAAAUUAUAUAUAUAUAUAUAUAUAUAAAAUUUAUUCGGGUUUGGAUUCGGAUAAUAUUUUGGAUAUCCAUAUCUAUUGACAUCCCUACUUUCUAUUUCUUUUUUCAAUAUACAAAAAAAUACGUACUAAAUACGGUGAACCAUUCAUUGUGUUUGAACACGGUAAAUGGUUCACCGUGUUCAACUUAACAUACGGGCUCCGUUCCUGCCUGCGUGGCGCUGACGUAGUACCUGUGUGGCAGACUUAGGACCAUUUUUGCGAAUUAAAUUUUGACAGGAUUAAUUUUAAAAUAAAAAUUUAUCGGAAGGCUAAAUGCAAAAAAAAAAAAACCCUUCUGUUUGGCAUUUCCGUAUCGAUAAUUUGGGGAUUAGGCGUUUUCGGAUUUUACGGGAGCGGUGACAAAGAAGAUAAAAGCUGCCAUUCACAUGAUAGCAGUUACCAUGCACGGCGCACAUGAUGCGUCCUUGUUUUCUCGGCACAAGAGCUCGGAGCUCGCAUGUUCGUGGUGCACAGUAUACACACAUAUAAAGCACGUGACAACCCCUGCUACCGCAUCUCCCCGUCCGUGACCUCACCACUUCACCUCUAUUUUAUUAUUAUUUUUAUUACUGCUAGCGUACAAACUAAGAGGAACGACCGCGCAGCAGAAGCGAUGCGAAAGGAAAGAGAUUCGGAUCGAAUUUGUCCCGGGACUGGCGAUUACCGGCCCCUGAUUUACGCCGCACAAAACUACCGCCGCUUACAACGCCGUUUUAUAUGCUCUAUUGCUCUUUGUCCGUUGCACAUAAUGUCUACUCUAGCACGCACUCCCUCCGCAACACCGGAACAAAUUAAUUAAAUCUCCACCGUUUCGACCCGCAAGUUAAUUUGAAGCACCUACAUAUUCUAUCCUCCUUUGUUUUUUUUUUUGACAAUUUCUACUUGUACAUUUUAAAAGGGAAUAUAGAUCUUACAUUCUUCAGUGUGGAAUUAAUAGUGCUUGAAUGGAAUGGGUAUAAGAUAUACACCUAGUAUUUUUUUUUUUUUUUUUUGUGGCUAAUUUACCUAAAUGGCGUUUGCAUUUUAGACUAUAUAUGUCUUAAUUAACUUUCUGCAUUAAACAUUAUAUUAAUUUUCAUUCUGAUUUUUGUCAUUAUUUCAAAUAGUUUUAAAAGUUUAGAAUGAUUAUUACAUUUAUCUAGUAAAUAUUUAGUAAAAAUAAAUUUAUAGAUAAAAAAGAGAUUGUAGAGGCUAUAGUGACAUGUGUCAUCAUCUUAUAGCUGCAGCAGCCCUCUUUCAAUGUAUUGUUAAUUAAGAUUAAAAUAAAAUAGAUUUCCAAACUAAAAAUAUUUUGGGAGUUUGCCAAUAUUUUAAUGCCCUUUUGGUAUUAACUUUUUUUUUUUUUUUUUUUUUGAGAGAUAGGCAGCACGCUACCCGCUUCGUUUAUUUCAUUUAGAAAUAAAUUUAGCUGGAAAUAUGAAUCAACUAGAAUUCAAACUUGCGACCUCGGGUACCGAGCAACAAGCCUUUUGCCACUUGCUCUAGAAACGAUCGGUGUUAUUAACUAUUAAGGUAGUCUGAUGCUGCUAUAUCAAAAGUAUAUAGUUGGAAUUGUACACGAUAUGUUUUAUCAAUUUUCUAAAAGGAAUCACUAAAUGCAUAUUUUAGCUAACUCAUUCUUACAUGUACAACGUUAGAUUGUCACGGUAACAAAUAUAUUAAUAAUAUUUUUUUUUUUUUUUUUUUUUUUUUUGUUUUAUAGCAAUUAAGUUCACUAAAAGGAAUUAAAAACUAUUAUUGUUGCCUAGAGUCAAAUUGAUCUCAUGCAACAACACAUGCACCGACGUAAUCAAAUCCGAUUACCCGGAGUUAAUCUCGUGAACCCCAUCAUCCCCUCCCCAAACCACUCCCCUUUCUUUCCGUUGCUUCCAACGACCAACCACCACCCCAACCUCCACUCCUCUCCACUAUAAAUGUGUGCGCGCGAACACACACCCCUAACUCAAAUCCCACACAUAUACGCCUCUCGGGAUAAUGGAGAUGAUUAAGAUCACCAACUGCUUGUUGCUUGUUGCGUCCCUGCUCUUGAAGCUCCAUAGUUCUAAUGCUUCCUCGUCCUCUUUAGAUUACGCAGACGCCCUCGAGAAAUCGAUUCUUUUCUUCGAGGGCCAGCGGUCGGGCAAACUCCCCGCCGAUCAGCGAAUGACUUGGCGGGGCGACUCCGCGCUCUCCGACGGCUCCGCUAACCAUGUCUUUACUCUCCUCCAAUUAAUGCCAUUUUUCGCAUAUAAUUUUAUCUUAUUAAUAGUAGCAGCAGAUCACUGCAAUCCCUCCGCAAUAUAUAUACUAGUGCAGAUUAAGUAUGAAAAUUUUGGCUUGCAUUGUUAUAAAUGAAUUGUAGGUGGAUUUGGUGGGAGGAUAUUACGAUGCGGGGGACAACGUCAAGUUCGGCUUCCCGAUGGCCUUCACGACGACGAUGCUGGCGUGGAGUGUGAUCGAGUUCGGAGACAAGAUGCAGGGCCAGCUCGAUCACGCCAGAGCCGCCGUCCGGUGGGGCGCCGACUAUCUUCUAAAAGCCGCCACAGCAACUCCCAACACUCUAUAUGUUCAGGUCGCUAAACUUGUACAUCAUUAGACAUGACUUCUACACUGUAAACAAAAUUAUAUUUAAACUUUUUUUUUUUUUUUUUUAUAUUUAACUACACUUAAAAGUGUCUCAAUAUAAUCUUUCGUUAUUUUUUAAAGCGUCCAUCAAAAUAUCAACAAAUAAAGAAUCACUAUAUAUAUAUCAAUGUUUAUACUAAAUAUCGGUAAAAUAUAUUCUGACGUUUUAAAGUAUCAGUAUUUUUUGAAUAGAGGGUUCAUAUGACAACGUUUUUCGAAUCGUCAGUAUUUACUAUAUUAUAGAGACGCUUUCCUCAAGAGUCGUCUAAAAAGUGUUCUUAUAUUGAGUUUUACUUAUAGUGUAAUUACAUUACUCAUUUUCUGAUAGUUUGAAAACUAAUUGUAUGUUGUGAUCGAUUCUGGUAGAAUUAAAAAGUAGCGGAAACUUAUAAACUGGAUAAUCAAUAUAUCCAGAAAUUAAAAUCAGAUCAAAGGAUCGCUUGUUUAAUCCUAUGACUUGAAUAACUGGAUUAAAUCUCCAUCCGCUACCUCUUUUUCGGAACGCAAUUAAUUAGUAAUUGAUGAUUUCUUAAACUGUAGGUUGCUGACCCGAAUAAGGAUCACCAAUGCUGGGAGAGGCCGGAGGACAUGGACACGCCCCGCGGAGUCUACAAGGUGACGAGCCAAAACCCCGGGUCCGAUGUCGCGGGAGAGACGGCCGCGGCAUUGGCGGCGUCCUCUAUUGUGUUCAGAGAUUGCGAUCCAGCUUACUCUCGGAAACUACUACAAACAGCCAUGAAAGUAAAUCACAAUCUCCACUAUAUAUGUUAUAUAUAGUUUAGUUCAUCUUUUCAAUAAAUGAAACGAAUAAUAUGUUAUAUAUUAUCAUUUUUUUUUUAAAAUAAAUAAAUAGUGUCAAAUUUGCGGUUUCAGGUCUUUGAUUUCGCGGAUCGUUACCGGGGAGCGUACAGUGAUUCACUCAGCUCCGUCGUGUCUCCGUUCUACACCUCCUACUCCGGAUACCAAGUAAGUGAUGAUAUGAAAAAAUUCGGCUACAAUACUUUCAAAAAUAAUUUAUUUCUAUUUUUUCAAAAAAAAAUUAGUCAUUAUUUUGUGAUUAUAAGUGAGUAAUUUAUGAUUCUGCGGAAACAGGAUGAGCUGCUGUGGGGAGCUGCAUGGCUGCACUGGGCGUCAGAUGACAUCUCUUACAUGUCGUACAUUCAGUCCAACGGCAACACUUUGGGGGCACAAGACGAUGACUACUCCUUCAGCUGGGACGAUAAGCGCAUCGGUACUAAAGUUCUUCUCGCCAAGGUAUUCUUCCUCUCUGCUCAUUCAGAAAGUUAUUUGAUGAUUGAAAACAACAACAAAAGCGAAAGCAAAUUAAACCUUUUAUUCAAUAGAAUUACCGGACAUAAAUACAUUACUCUUCACGCUUUGCUUAAUUAGCUACAAUACUAUGUGUUGAAUUUUAACUUAUCUAAUUUAUUAACAUCACUUUAGUCGAAUGUUUCAUUAAAUAUUAAGUACUCUUUGGCGCAAUAAAACGGAUAUACGUCGACUGUGGAUAUAUAUGUGAAAGCUAUUAUAUAUUUUCCAUUUGCUUGACCACGUGUAAGAAGGUUAUUUUGACUUAAGUUUAUCUGGAUGUAUAAUAUUUUUUUUUAAAAAAAUUAACAUGUUUUGGCCAUUAAUUGUUACUAAAAUUGACAGUACUGUUUGUUAAAAGGUGGGUUAUAUUAUUAAUAGAAUUAACAGCUAAAUUUAACACAAAUUUUAAUUUAACUAACUAUGAUAAUUGAAAUCAAAAUAAUAAACCGAAAAUAAAGCUGGGACCCAUUUAUUUAUUUAUUUAUUUUAAUUUACAUUUCCACCAAGAGUUCAGCAAGACCAAUUGUUUUUCUUCUCCAAAUUUUGGACAGGGUUUCCUGCAGAACAGGAUUGACUCACUGCAACUAUACAAGGCCCACUCAGACAACUACAUUUGCUCUUUGGUCCCUGGAUCAAACCGUUUCCAAUCCCAAUACACCCCAGGUCAUUAAUUUUAGAGCGAUGCUAUCUGCACGCCUGUAAGUUUUACCGGUUAUAAAUCUAACACGCAACCCAUCUACUGAACACUAAUAUCAUUUCAUGACUUAUAUAGAAUUUUAUUUUUUAUACUGAAAAUUCAAAAGAGUUUUCUAGAUCCUAAGAUGGAUAGUUGUAAACUUUACAUCGUAUUCAUGGGGUGUAUGUAGAGAGCAUUUUCUUAAUUGUAUAUAUAUAUAUAUAUAUAUUUAGUCCAGAUACUGUAGGUCGAUAAUUUACUGUUCUCUGCAACACUUACUGAGCAGCAAAUUAAUAUAAACAGGGGGGCUUCUUUACAAAGAAAGUGACAGCAACCUGCAGUAUGUGACUUCCACUACUUUUCUCCUCCUCACCUACGCCAAGUACCUGCAGGGCUCAAAUGGAGGAUCAGCCUCCUGCGGGAGUAGUACAAUCACUGCUGGAGACCUCAUUUCACUGGCUAAAAAGCAGGUAGAGAAGAUCAAGAACUCGCUGUGUCGUUUGUCCAAAAAUGUGUUCUUCAAACACAACCGCUUUAAUAUCUUAGAAUCACUAAAGAUAUUUAAAAACACUUUAAAGCUCUGCUCGUCUGGUUCUACGGAACGACGGCAAGAAUCUCCGAUGGCCCAUGAAACGUUCGCAUGCACCAUCAUAAUUUAGAAUUGGUGGAGUAGAAUUCCAAAAUACAUCUAAAUUUUUUUGGAGACUUUGCGAAAGCAAUGAGCCCAUACGAAUGGGCUCGCAUUAGUGGGGCCUGUCUGACCCAAUGUCUAGAAUAACUUCUCGGCAAAAAUAUAUUAAAUUUAUCUGAACUAUGGAUCAUUUUGAAUCAACUAUUUGAUCUUUUAAAAUUUUGAUUUUGCUAUCCAAUCUUUUAAUUUGUUAGAUUUGAACUAGUUAAUAAUACUUUGACUUUAAAAUAUAAAUUAAUUAUUUAUUUUAAUAAAUUUAUACUUAUAAAAUAUACGAACUAAAUCUGUAAAUAAACUAUGUAUUAAAAUUGUAAAGUCAAAGUACAGUUGAUUGACUAAACUCAAAUAAAUUAAAAAAUGGGAUAGAAAAUUUGAAAGAUUGGAUAGCGAAUUCAAAAAAUGAACUUUUCAACUCCGAGAAAUCAGUGUGAUGUGUUUUAUUUCGUGAAAUAAAAGCUUACAGAGGUAUCUAAACUUUGUAGAGAAACUUGUGGCAACAGUUUCUUUGAAACUUAAUUGGUCGAUCUUUUUGAAAUGAUUGGUACGAUACCUCUAAAAGCCUAGUUUGUCUGGUUGGAUUUCAAAUUAUAAGCCAGAAGCGAAUUAAAAAUUAAAAAUUAAAAAAUAAAUGUAAUAUUUUGUUUUUUUUUAGCUCUUCUGUGAUAUCAUGCCAAUUUCAUUUUAGCGAGCAGAGUCUUUUUUAGCUGAUGCCAGUAUACCUGGAUAUACGUUAGGUGGAUUACAUACUGGGCCAGAAUCCGGCGAGGAUGUCGUACAUGGUCGGAUACGGCGCCCGGUAUCCGCUGCACGUCCACCACCGGGGUUCGUCGCUUCCCUCCGUCCACGCCAACCCCUCCCACAUCUCGUGCAACGACGGGUUCCGCUACUUGAACUCGGGCUCGCCGAACCCGAACGUGCUUGUUGGGGCCGUGCUAGGCGGGCCGGACAACAACGACCAGUUCUCCGACGACCGCAAUGACUACCAGCAGUCGGAGCCCGCGACGUACAUCAACGCGCCCCUCGUCGGAGCCCUCGCUUUCCUCGCGGGUGCUCCGGUGUAACAACUAUUAGGCUAAGCCUCGAGCUUUAUAUAUAUAAAUAUAAAAUAUAUUUAUAUGCAUGUGAUCGAUGCAUUUAUGAUGCAUGGUAGAGAGUGGGAUUUAGCAUUCUCAAGCUCCCCUGACCAUGUCAAGAUUUGAAGCAAUAUAUAUAUAGUGAAUGUUGUAUCAGUGUACGGACAAAGUAUUUUCAUUCUCAAGGUUUCUUCCUCUCGCUUCCGUUAGAUUUAACUUACAAUAUUUAGUGAAGAACUUAAUAGAUACAAUAAUUAAAUUUUCAAUAAUUAUUAUAUAUUAUUCAUUCAAAACUAUGGGGACAAACAAUGUAAUUAAAUAAUCUUACUGUAUUAGCUCUUCUCUCGAUCGCAUUCCUUAUUAUCGCAUCACAUACGUACUUUAACCCUACUACUAAUUAAAUAAUAAUAUUUUCACUAUUUAAAAGUUGAAGAAUUAGAUUGAAAUAACUGAUUAGAUGAAAUAUUUUUACAAGAUUAGGGAUUUAAAACGUAUCUUAGAAAUUGAUCUAAAACUUUGAGAAACAAAACAAAACUUGAAUAUAUAUAUAUUAUAUAUAUAUAUAUAUAUAUAUUAUAUAUAUUAUAUUAUAUAUAUAUAUAUAUAUAUAUAUAGAGCUUUUUAACUCUUUAUAUAUUAGUAAAAAGCUUUAAUAUAUUUUUUUUCUUUUAUAUACUAGUGCGUUACACAUGUUCAUAAUCAUAACAAACUAAAAAAAAAUGAUUAUUAAUUUUCUCUCAAUAUUAUUUUUUUAGAUAUUUUAAAUUGUUGGUAUAAAAUAUUCUAAAACUGCGGUUUCAAAUCAAAGUUAAAGUUUUUUCUCCAAUCAAUAUCAAUUUUAUUAAUGAUUUGUUGCAAACCCCCUCAACUGUAGUCAUUUUGAAAUUAUGUCAUUUGAAAAUUAAGUGAUUGUUGGCGUCAAAGAAAUUGCGCCACGUGGUAAAUAGGGAUGCACUGCAGUCAUGGCCUUUAAAGUCAGGGAUAAAUAACAUAUGAUGCAUCAGAAUCAGAGAAGGAGUCGCAGCAAAUCGUAAAGCAGUUAAGGCUCACACGGUUACAUACGGUUAAGAUCGGCUAGUAGUGGUGUCACGCUCCGGGACCCAGCAGAGACCUACCCGGUACGUGUCCAGACCCGUCAUAUGCCUACAACACAUAAGGCGUCUACAAUAAAGUGAUAAUUAAAGCAAUAAUAAACAAGCGUCUAGAGAUAUCAGAUCAUGAUUACAACUAAAUUCUAAUAGCAAAUGGAUAAAUAUAAGAACUAAAUAACUAACAUAAUCCACAAAGAUGAUACAUCAUAAAAUUUCAAAUACAAGUGCUAGAUAUACAAAAAUGAUGGUCUUUACACAUGGGUACAAAAACUCUCACUCUCUACAAUAGAUACAAAAAUAGAGAGAUGACCAUCUAAAGCAAAAUCUCCUCGCUAUCUAGCUAGAUGCGAUCCCCUUUUCGCGAUCCCGAGCCUCUCCCGGUGCGGAUGGCUCUGAAAUAAAAACAACAACAUAGAGGAUGUGAGAACUAUUAAACAAUAGUUUCCAGUGGAUAAGCCGCCGACCUCAGCGAAAUACACCACUAGGCUAUAGAGGCAAAAGUAGUAAUAAAGCUGAAAUAAACAACAAGUAAAUUUUGCAAGUUUAAUUUUGUUAAGCUACUAUACCUCAAUUUAGCAUGAUGUCAACAUGUAACCCUACUAAUCUAUCAUGAACAAGUAUAUCCAAUAUGUAUACUAGUAUGUUCUAAACAUAUCUAACAUGUGUACAAAUAUGCACCAAGCAUGAUUAAUAAGUAUACUACUAUACAUUAAGCAUUGAUUAACAAGUACACUACUAGCAUUAAGCAUUAAUUAACAAGUAUACUACUAUGUCCAAUAAGUGCACUAUGAUGUCCAACCAAAACCUACCAUCAAGUAGUAAUUGUCACUUAUUGUUAAAUGCCAUUUUUCCAUUUCCAAUUAAGGACCUACACAAGUGUAGUCCGGCUUGUGCCGCCUAAUUGCCCGUGGUAGUCCAACAUUCCCUUGCUAGGAAUGUCACGCCCGGGUACCAGCGAAAGCAUAACCGGUACGUGCACAAACUCGCCAUACACCUGCAGUAUAUAAGGCGUCUACAAGUAACAAGUCGAUAGGAAGAAAAUAUAGAAAAUCAUAUCCUGAUAUCAGAGCAACGUACAAGUCGAUGAUACAAUCAAUAAUAGAACGAGGAGUAAACAAUACAAAAUCUCAACUAAGGGAGAAGUACCACAACCGUAGUGUCUGGUCCAAAAGUAAAUAUACAUCACAGGUAUACACAAAAGUAGAUACAAUGGUAGUCUCUCUAUACAUAGGGACAUCACCCUCGACCGUAGCUCGAGUAGUAAGGUGAUCGACUAGCAAGCCCCUAGCAAUGUCUAGCUAGACGCGACUCCCUUGCCACGAUCCCUAACCUCUCCUGUAAAUGGCUCUGUAAAAUCAACCACAAAAGGGCGUGAGAACUAUUAACAAUAGUUCCCAGGGGGUAAGCUGCCAGUCUCGGCGAAUUACACCACUAGGCUCAUGAUGUACUAAAUGAAAGUAAAAACAGUAAUUGCAUGACAUAUGUAUGCAAUGCUAACAAGUAAUCAACAUGUAAUCAUGAUUUCUGCAGUAAUGAAUCAACUGAAUAAUAGAAGCAUAGCAACUACUGUAAGCAUGAACAUAAGUAUGGAUGUGUAAGUAAAUACUGUACACUAUAACUGAUAAUCAUUCAUUACUGUCCUUGGUCAACUGUCCUUGUCAUUUAGUACUUUCAUUUCAUUUAGAAUUUUCCAUUCAUUCAUCAGGACCUACACAAGGUAGUCCGGCUUCCGCCGCGCCUAAUGGCCCCGUGGUAGUAUAUACUCCUCACGGCAAUCCACUUCAGCACCCAAUCCCGCACGAGCGAGCAACUAUCGCGUAGGCCAAUUCCGGAGUGCCGGCUUGUAGGGAGCGACCCUCACAAGCAUGUGCGAAUGAGCACAAUGGCAAGCAAGCAUAAUCCAGAAAAAGUGGAGGACCAAAUUCUGAGCUCCAGAAACCUCUACUGAGCAUCCCUGGUCAAGCUGGGCAUAAGGGAUAAGAACAGGAGGCAAAAAGACCAAAAAAACCCUGCUGCCACGCACCUGCUGCAGCUGCUGCUUGCUGUACCGGUACAGGGUGAUGGCUGUACCGGUACACAAUGCAGAAAAUGCUGAAUUUCGCCAGUUCAAUGCACUUUCUUGUUUCUAGCUUUCCAAUCAUCCUCUAACUUGUUCAAAAGCUUGUCCAAACCUUUUAGAACAUGUAGGAUAGUUCCACAUUUCAUUCCACACACUCGAACUCCGUAAUUUGCAAAAGUUAAGUGUAUUACAUUCACCCCUCCUAAAAAGAAGUUUCGUCCGCGAAACUUGUGAUCACUUACCUCAAGAUUCCGCCGAGAAAAGAUAGGGGUAGUGCUCUAACAUCGCACUCUCCAAUUCCCUAGUGGCUUCUCGUUCAUCGUGAUUGCUCCAAAGUAUCUUCACAUACGGUAUUUCGCGGUUUCGAAGUCGUUUCACCUUUCGAGUUAGUAUUUUCACCGGAUACUUCUCAAAGCUCAGAUCUUCUUGCAAAUCCACUGGAGUAGUUUCCAAUAUGUGGGUUGGAUCAAAAACAUAUCUCCGAAGUGUGGAAACAUGAAACACAUUAUGCACUCCUGAUAGGCUCGGCGGCAAAGCAAGCCGAUAUACUACGGGGCCUAUCCGCUCCAACACCUCGUAGGGUCCAAUAUAUCGAGGACUCAACUUUCCUCGAAUGCCAAAUCUCUUAACUCCUUUUGUCGGUGAAACCUUCAGAAAUACAUGAUCGCCAAUUUGAAAUUCCAAUUCUCGCCGACGUUUAUCCGCAUAGCUCUUUUGUCGACUUUGUGCUGUCAAUAGAUGUUCUCGUGCGAGUCGAACUUUAGCUUCAGCUUCUUGCAGUAUAUCUGGACCCAGGACUACUCUUUCACCCACUUCACUCCAAUGAAGUGGUGAUCUGCAUUUUCUACCAUAAAAGGGCUUCAAAAGGUGCCAUCUGAAUGCUUUCUUGAUAACUAUUGUUAUACGCAAAUUCAGCCAUCGGUAGGAACUGUGGCCAACUGCCCUCGUAAUUAAUCACACAGGCCCUCAACAUAUCCUCAAGGGUCUGGAUGGUACGCUCAGACUGCCCAUCACUCUGGGGGUGGAAAGCAGUACUAAAAUCCAAUCGGGUACCCAAGGCCUCCUGUAAACUCCUCCAGAAAUAUGAAACAAAUCGGGUGUCUCGAUCAGAAACAAUAGAGGCUGGUACUCCAUGUAAUCGCACAAUUUCAUCUAAGUACACUUGUGCGAGUUUUUUCCCCGACUAAACGGUAUGAAUUGGAAUAAAGUGGGCAGAUUUGGUCAAUCUGUCCACAAUUAUCCAAAUGGCAUCGUGACCUGCCUGUGAGCGAGGUAAUCCAACAAUAAAAUCUAUAGUAAUCCUCUCCCAUUUCCACACUGGUAUGGGUAGGCUUUGAAGUUUUCCUGCAGGAAGUCGAUGUUCCGCUUUAACCUGGUGACAGGUUAAGCAUUUGGCCACAAAAUCUGCAACUUCCUUUUUCAUUCCAGGCCACCAGUAAGUUAACUUCAAAUCUUUAUACAUCUUCGUACUUCCAGGAUGCAGAGUAUACGGUGUUUGAUGUGCUUCUUUUAGAAUUUCUUCUUUAAUGUCAAAGUCUGUCGAUACACAAAGUCGGUUGCAGAAUCUUAACAACCCUUGAUCAUCUACUCGAAAAUCAUCAAAAUGAUCAAUAGUGAUUUUUGCUCGAAUCUUUUGCAAAAAUUCAUCUUGAGCUUGUUUUUCUUUAAUUCGAUCGAUCAGGGUAGGCCGCACCACCAAUGACAUAAGUCUCCAAGGCGUGUCAGGAGCUACAACUUCCAAAUUCAACUGCUCUAUUUCCUUUACCAACAGUGGUUGCAUAGUUAUCGACAUCGCUAAAUUUUUCGUCGAUUUUCGACUUAAAGCAUCUGCUACAACAUUCGCUUUUCCUCGAUGAUAGAGGAUAGUCAAAUCAUAAUCCUUGAGCAACUCCAACCAUCUACGUUGUCUCAAGUUUAAUUCCUUCUGAGUAAACAGAUACUUUAAGCUUUUAUGAUCUGUGUAAAUCUCGCAACGCUCACCGUAGAGGUAGUGGCGCCAAAGCUUUAAAGCAAAAACUACUGCAACCAACUCAAGAUCAUGUGUAGGGUAGUUCUUUUCAUAAUCCGUUAAUUGGCGAGAUGCAUAUGCAAUUACUCGGCCAUUCUGCAUUAGAACACACCCUAAUCCAUUCAGCGACGCAUUGCUGUAAAUCACAUAAUCCACUCCAGUAACAGGUAAUGCUAAAAUCAGGGCGGUGGUCAAUCGUUCCUUCAGCUCUUGAAAACUUCUUUCGCAGGCUUCAUUCCACAAGAAUUUAGCUCCUUUAUGAGUGAGUCGAGUAAGAGGAGUAGACAUCUUCGCAAACCCUUCUACAAAUCUUUGGUAGUAUCCCGCCAAACCAAGGAAACUCCGAAUCUCUGUAACAUUUGUCGGCCUGGGCCAAUCUUUUAUCGCUUCAAUUUUCUUUGGAUCCACAGCUAUCCCAGCCUCUGAAAUGACAUGUCCCAGAAAUGCUACUUCUCGAAGCCAAAAUUCGCAUUUCUUUAAUUUUACAAACAGUUUCUUUUCUCGAAGUACUUGUAACACCACUCUUAAAUGGUUUUCAUGCUCCUCAUCACUUCGAGAAUAUAUCAAGAUAUCGUCGAUAAACACGACCACAAACCUGUCCAAAUAAGGCUUAAAGACACGGUUCAUUAAAUCCAUAAAGGCUGCAGAGGCAUUGGUCAGUCCAAAUGGCAUAACUGUAAAUUCAUAAUGCCCAUAUCGUGUCCUGAAAGCGGUCUUGGAAACCUCUUCAGGCUUGAUCUUAAGCUGAUGAUAACCUGACUGCAAAUCAAUCUUAGAAUAUACUUUCGAUCUUUGCAGCUGAUCGAAUAAAUCAUCGAUUCUAGGUAAUGGAUAUUUAUUCUUAAUUGUGAUUUUGUUGAUUUCUCGAUAAUCCACACACAAUCGAAGAGAUCCAUCAUUCUUCUUAACAAAUAAUACCGGGGCUCCCCAAGGAGAUACACUCGGUCGAAUAAAACCCUUAUCCAAUAAAUCUUGUAACUGUGCCUUUAGCUCUUUCAAUUCAGCGGGUGCCAUUCUAUAGGGUGCUUUUGAGAUUGGGGUAGUCUCAGAGACAAGAUCUAUCACAAACUCAACUUCCCUAUCAGGUGGCAUACCCGGCAACUCAGCUGGAAACACAUCCCCGAAUUCUCGCACAACUGGGAUAUCUUCGAUCUUGACGGCUCCUCCGUCACUCACAGAAAUGCUAGCCAGAUAGGCUACACUCCCUCUCUGAAUCAACUGUCGUGCUCGCGAAGAGCUAAUAGUCAUUGCGAACAAUGAACUUUGACACCCCUUAUAAACAAACUCUUGCUGACCCGGUUCCCUAAAGGUCACCGUUCUGUUCGUGCAAUCUUUGGUGACAUAAUACUGUGUCAACCAAUCCAUACCCAAUACUACAUCAAACUCACCUAGUUUGUGUAGUGCCAAUAAAUCCACCGGUAUAAUCCAGUCGCCUACCCUAACUGGGCAGAGAGGGCAAAACUCACGAACAUCUAAGGUAUGGUCGGGCACGGUCACUCGUCCCGGAUGCAAAAUAGGUGCUAAACGAAUGCUAUGCAACUCGGCAAACUGCCGAUCAAUAAAAGAAUGCGAAGCACCGGUAUCAAAUAAAGCACGAACACGAACAUCAUAAAGCAUAAUAAUACCUGCUACGACCUCCUCCGCUGCUGCGGCCUCCUCAGUCUGGGCAGCAUACAUGCGCCCACUCGAACCCUGUCGAGGACUCUCAGACUGCCGCUAUCCCGGUGAUCGUCUGUACUGAGAGGGUGCUGACGGAGUCCCCUGGCUCGGAGCUGAAGAUGCAGGUGCUGAUGCUGAUGAGGGUGCAGGUGAAGAACCUCUCGGGCACUCUGAGCGAAAAUGGCCCUCCUGGCCGCAGAUAAAACACUUGCCCCCACGUUGUGGACAUUGUGGUGGAAAGUGAGGCCCACCACAAAUGACACAACGUGGCUGUCGACGACGCUCGGGUGCUCCACGGGGUGCUGAAGAACCUCGACCUCUUGACUAGCCCGGCUGGCCCCUCGGAUACUUUGGCGGUCUCCUGAAGGGUUGCUGACCACUGCUCUCAGUCGCUGGCCUCUUCCCUUUACUUCGAACCACAAUGUCUCUUUCUUUCAUGAUCUCUGCCCCCUUUUCAACUAUCAGUGCCCGGUUUACCACCUCCCUGUAAGUAGAAAGGUUUGACGCCUGGACCAAUCUAAAAAUCGCAGGCCGUAAACCCACCUCAAAAAUCCGAGCCUUGUCUCAUCAUCUCUAACCACAAAAGGAACACAAUGCAGCAAUCGGAAAAACUCUCGCUCAUACUCAGCCACUGUCCUGUCCCCCUGUCUUAGGUUUCUCAAAUCCCUUUCCAUUUGCCUCUUUACACUCUGAGGAAAAUAGGUAGUCAACAGUAAUUUCUUGAACCUCGUCCAGGUAAUAGCGGACAAAUCAGCACGGGGAUCCUCACGGAUAUCCACCCACCACCUGUAAGCCUCGCCAUCAAGGUGGUGUGUAGCAAACCAAACCCGAUAUCGCUCCUCGGCGAAAGUAUCAUAGAAUAGCUUUUCCAUGUGCAUCAGCCAUUUCUCGACCACCCAAUGAUCAGCUUUCUCCCCGUCAAAGACACGAGGGUUGCAAUGACGAAACUCAUUCAACCUUUCCAUCAUCCGCUCUCGCUCCUCAAUCGCCACCAUCUUUGGUAACACGGUCCCUAUCGCAGCCACAUGCACUGGUGGUGGUACUACUGUCUCCUGCCGGGUCUCUACCCUCGGAGCUACCGGUGAGGUAUCUGGUAUUGGUGACUGUGCUCUCACUGUCGUAUCCCUAUCUGGUACUAUAGGCAUGGAAUUAGGGAUCCCUCUGUCAGUCGUCUGCUGCAGUAAUAUAUCCUCUAACCUCUUCAUCCUAUCCUCCUGUCGACCCGCGGCAUUCAUCUGUAGUCGCGCUGCCGCAGCCUGCUGAGCCACCAAAUCCGUCAGCUUCGCGAGCUGAUCCUACAACUCAUGGAUCUCACUAGAUCCAGAAGUAACGGAAGUCCCCACUUCUUCCGCAUCCGUCGCCUCAGCCGCCCCGGCGGCUCUCGAAACGAGUCAAAGGCAUCUUGAGCUGCAGCACAAAAAUAAAUAUAGAUUAAUAAAACCUAUACUAUUGAACCUUUACUUCAGGUAUAAGCCAGCUAACCAAGCGAAAGUAAGAAAAUGUAACACAUACUAACUUCCGAUGUCACGUUGUCGGCCGCCAACGUGGCCCUCUGCAAAGUUAGUAAUUGCACAUUCCGAUCAAACUCCUAUCAUUUGAAGUUUAUAAAUUACCCAAUCAAAGUACUUUCGCUAACAACAACGUCGACUAGAUCUCAUCUCUCAUGAGCCUAUUCUUAUAGUCCAACCGGCCUAAGGUUUGCUAGGUCUACUAAGACUCAACCCUAGGCUCUGAUACCACUAUAAUCUGUCACGCCUGGGUACCAGCGGAAGCAUAUCCGGUACGUGCACAGAUCCGCCAUACACCUGCAGUAUAUAAGGCGUCUACAAUUAACAAGUCGAUAGGAAGAAAAUAUAGAAAAUCCUAUCCUGAUAUCAGAGCAAAGCACAAGUCGAUAAUACAAUCAAUAAUAGAACGAGGAGUAAACAAUACAAAAUCUCAACUAAAGGAGAAGUACCACAACCGUAGUGUCUGGUCCAAAAGUAAAUAUACAUCACAGGUAUACACAAAAAGCAGAUACAAUGGUAGUGUCUCUAUACAUAGGGACAUCACCCUCGGCCGUAGCCCGAGUAGCAAGGUGAUCGAUUAGCAAGCCCCUAGCAAUGUCUAGCUAGACGCGACUCCCUUGCCACGAUCCCUAGCCUCUCCUGUAGAUGGCUCUGUAAAAACAACCACAAAAAGGGCGUGAGAACUAUUAACAAUAGUUCCCAAUGGGUAAGCCGCCAGUCUCGGCGAAUUACACCACUAGGCUCAUAAUGUACUAAAUAAAAGUAAAAUCAGUAAUUACAUGACAUAUGUAUGCAAUGCUAACAAGUAAUCAACAUGUAAUCAUGAUUUCUGCAGUAAUGAAUCAACUGAAUAAUAGAAGCAUAGCAACUACUGUAAGCAUGAACAUAAGUAUGGAUGUGUAAGUAAAUACUGUACACUAUAACUGAUAAUCAUUCAUUACUGUCCUUGGUCAACUGUCCUUGUCAUUUAGUACUUUCAUUUCAUUUAGAAUUUUCCAUUCAUUCAUCAGGACCUACACAAGGUAGUCCGGCUUGCGCCGCGCCUAAUGGCCCCGUGGUAGUAUAUACUCCUCACGGCAAUCCACUUCAGCACCCAAUCCCGCACGGGCGAGCAACUGUCGCGUAGGCCAACUCCGGAGUGCCGGCUUAUAGGGAGCGACCCUCACAAGCAUGUGCGAAUGAGCACAAUGGCAAGCAAGCAUAAUCCACAGUCCAACAUGUCUCAAUCAUCAUGUUUUAGCUCACAAUAUUCUCGCUCUCGAUCCUUUGAUCGGCAUUUCAAUAUAACAAAUAUUGACAAUACUAGUAUCUACUAGAUUAAUAAACGUACUAGAGUAAUGAUAAUUUACAUAUGGCAUUAGAAUCUUUCCACUAUCAUGGCACUAUCAACAUAGGCAUAAAGUCUGUUAUUGUUCUCUACUUUAGAGUCAAGAGAGUGUCAUUGUUCUCUACUUUACAAAGGCAUAAUUAAUAUGUCCAUUAGUUACUCAACUUAACUAAAUAUAAACAUAAACAAGAGCAUAAAGACAAUUAUGCAUGAGUUCUCUCUACUUCAUAGCGGUUCUAUUUCCAUUUCAUCAAUGUUAUGGCAAAAAGGUUCCGCAUCCAUUUAGUAACCACAUAGUGACAAUAACGCACGACUAUAUCAAUUCUAUAGUUACAUAUAGAACAUAGGGGAGCUUCACUUGCUCUGGUUAGGUCAAACCCACCUAUUAUUAGGCUCAAAUCAGUCCACAAGAGGUUCCGAAUUCAAGCUCCAUGAAGCUUCAAUCCUGCGGUAACAAGGUACGAAAGUCGUAUCAAUACUACAACCGAAAUGUCCAAUUUCGGGACAAUUCGCACUUAAUACAAGGUAAUAGCUUAAAUUCCUGUUUCGGGUCACAUUAGUACCUCAAAUUAAGCCUCCAAUUGCUCUCCAAUGCCAACUGAAAAUGAUCCAAGGCUCAAUCACGCUCUUGCUGCGAACAAUAUCAAAGCGGCAUUAGAAUGCUUGUAUACAAGCCUUUAUAGUCGAAUUCUUGCGAAAAUGGAUUUCUAGCUAAAAUUCCUGCUUACCCUUGGUUAGAAUACCUUCCUAACCAGAUCCCCAGGUCACCAAAUUAGCUCAAAAUGGUUCGAAAACCUGCUGCGAAGGAACAAUUCCAAAUUGCAUCAAGUUACUCGAUUAACUCGCGUAUAGUUCCGAAAUAGCUUUAGAAAUCAUACUUUACUUUUAACUAGCUUUAAAGCAGCUUAUCCCUGAUCCAAGGUGAUUAAUUCACAGCUAAUUAACUUCUCUCAAGCUGCUGAAAACAUCCUCGAAUUCAGUUGGAAGCAGUGAAACAAAAACACAUCAAAUUCCAAUACUAAAGCACAAACUAGAGAGAAAAUUGAGCUAAAUCCUUUUCGAAAGCUGAGAUUCAGCUUCUCUAGUACUAACCUCACAGAAAACUCAGAGAAAAAUCCUCCUCCCCACGUGCUGAAAGCAUCCCUUGAGUACAAAAACAGCGAGCGUCGGCCGGAGCGCGAAAUCGACUCGAAUCGGCGACUUUUCCGUAGAGAGAGAAAAACCCUAGAGAGAGAGAGAGAGAGAAAAGGUGGAGGAUCAAAUUCUGAGCUCCAGAAACCUCUACUGAGCAUCCCUGGUCGAGCUGGUGAUAAGGGAUAAGAACAGGAGGCAAAAAGACCAAAAAAACCCUGCUGCCACGCACCUACUGCAGCCACUGCUUGCUGUACCGGUACAGGGUGAUGGCUGUACCGGUACACAAUGCAGAAAAUGUUGAAUUUUGCCAGUUCAAUGCACUUUUUUGCUUCUAGCUUUCCAAUCAUCCUCUAACUUGUUCAAAAACUUAUCCAAACCUUUUAGAACAUAUAGGAUAGUUUCACAUUUCAUUCCACACACUCGAACUCCGCAAUUUGCAAAAGUUCAGUGUAUUACAAGGAAUGAGCUUAUCCCACCCGCCCCAGUAGGCUACCCAAUACCGCACGAGUGAGCAUAUGUCGCGUAGGCUAACUCCAGAGCGCCGGUUUGUGAGGAGCGACCCUCACAAGAAUGUGCGAAUGAGCACAAAUGGCAACCAAGCAUAAUCAUCAUCUCAAGUAUACGGUCAUCAUGUCUCCAACAUGGUAUGAAUACUAGCAACCCCAAAGGUCUAGUUCUAUGUCACAUUGUAAAGGCUGAACCAUUUACUAAGUCUAAUGCCACUUUAUGACAUUAUGGUUUACUAUAUCGAUACAUGUUCUAAGUCCAAUGGCACUUUAUGACAUUAUAUAUUCCCUAUGUUUAACAUAUGUCCAAUAUUCACAAACAAGUAAAAGCUUGUCAUAUCACUACAAAUAACAUGAUUUCUAGCAUAUCAUAAGAUUGUCAUACACUAGCAUGAGUGCUAUACAUAUACCUCUCUACUACAUAGAGAUGAAAAGUCAUGAUACCUAACAUACGCAUUUUAAACAUUCUAAAAUUCAUUUAUGCUCUAUUUGCAUGAAUAUACAUAAUUUUUUAUUUUACAACAAAGAAUACAACAUAGGGGGAGUUCACCCAUUUCGAUGAGGUCAAACCCACCGAGAACUCCUAAGAUCUCCUUUGUUUGCGCGAACGAAGAUGUCCACUAGCCUCCUAACUCCCUAGAGAAUAUUCUAAGAGGGUUAUACGAAAUAAACAAACACCCCAUGAGUUAAACUUUAACCAACCUAAGAAAAGGGCAAAACUCACCUUGUAUGGUGAAAUACUCUCUCAAUCCCCAAAUGGAAGCUAGAGUACUUCUAUUCCAACCUAAAUGAAGGUUCUACACCUAUCAAUUAAGUCCCAAAAGCCACAAAUCAAAAACCCUCAUAUAAAAUCCUAGAUUUUACAUUCUAGGUUUCCAUCUCAAGAAAUCUACUAAAACAUGGAUCAAAUGAGGGAUUAAGGUUACCAACCUCUUUAGAAGCCCCAAACCAAGCUAGAAAUGAGCUAGGGUUAAAGAUCUCUUCUCCAACAAGCUCCUAUCCAAGCUCCAAAGCUUUUCCUGUGGUGGAAAAGUCACCAAGAUACAAAAUAAAGCAAAAGGGAGAGAUCAAUCUCCUAAAUCCCAAACAAAAAGAGAGGAAAAUCAAGGAAAAUGGGAGGGGAACCCUACUUUUCCUGCUUAUCUAUUGCAGCACAAAAGCCCCAGCCAAAGGGUGUGGGGAAAUAUAUAGUGUAGCAACAAUUACAAAAAGAACCUUAAAAAACUGGCAGUCUGCGAACUGUACUGCGUACUGGUGACACGGGAUGGGGUACCGGUACCAGGCAACAGCAUGCACAAACCCGAGCCUCGGGUUGGAGAGAAAACACACUACGUACUGGUACUAUCACGAUACAGUACCGAUACCAGGUCGAGUGCCGGUACUCUGCCCUGCAGAGUCCAACCCGAGAGCAGUCCAAAAUUUAAAAUUUGGAGACUUUGGUGUUAAGUUUUAAACCUCACUCCUCGGGAUGUGAGUCAUAAGUCGGAACACAGUCAACGACCCUCCAGAAUAUCUGAAAAAGCUCAAAACAUAGAUCAAACACUUGAACCUCGCAAUUUGCAAAGGUCCAGUGCAUUACAAGUGGCCCACGAAAUUAGGAAUGUGACUGAUCAUGGGGAAUAACUGAAUAAUGACAGGCGGAUUAUAAUGUCACGCCCCAGCACCGCCACCUUGGUCGGUUCGGGCACGCGCACAAACCGCCGAAGGGAUAGAAUUUCUUCUGUCCGCCCAAUGCUUAAACAAAACAGGUACAAUGAUUUUUACCCAGGAAAAAUAAUAUCAUACAGUUCUACACGAGGGCAUAUCACAAGAGAAGAAUUUAAACUAAUUAUUACAACAUUCCAUCAUUCGCAUUUUAACAUUCUCCCUUCAAUUUACAAGUUUGCUCUUUCCUUACAAGAUAGAUCAUUUACAACAUACAUUUACAAUCUUUUAUCUGUACACAGGUGACCUACACUUGGUGACCCUACUAUCUAGGGCGCGACGCCCACGUCUCGGUCCGGUGCUGUUCCGCUAUUGAUAGUUGUGUGUAUUAUUGUAAACUUAAUAAUAGUUCUUUUAUUCUGCUAAUGCUUUAUAUAGAUGAUAUGUUGAUUGCAGCAAAAGAUCCAACAGAAGUGCAAAAGUUAAAGAAUCUGUUGAGCCAAGAAUUUGACAUAAAGGACCUAGGAAGUGCCAAAAAAAAUCUAGGUAUGGAGAUUAGAAGAGAACGCAAAUAAGGGAAGCUUUGGCUAUCCUGAAAGACAUAUAUAAAGAAAUUAAAUUGUAAAGCAAUUCAGUAUGUCAGAUGCAAAGACGGUCAAGACUCCGUUAGCCCAGCACUUCAAGCUAGCAGAGAAGAUGUGCCCAAAAACUGAGCAAGAGGUAAAUUGUAUAGCAAAGAUACCAUAUGCUAGUGCAGUUGAUAGUUUAAUAUAUGCUAUGAUUUGUACUAGACUUGACAUUUCACAUGCAGUUAGUGUUGUUAGUCAAUAUUUGUCGAAUCCAGGGAAGCAACACUGGGAGGGAGUGAAAUGGAUCUUGUGGUAUUUAAAAGGCACAGCUUAUGUAGAAAUUCUCUACGCUGGAGAAUCUAGAAUUGCUAAAGUAAGAGGGUAUGUGGAUUUUGACUAUGCUGGAGAUUUAGACAGGAGAAGAUCCAUUACAGGUUACACCUUUUUGCUGAGUGGCGGAUCUGUUAGUUGGAAGUCCACGUUGUAGCGCACUGUAGCCUUGUCAACUAUAGAGGCGAAAUAUAUGGUAGCAAUUGAAACAGCCAAGGAAGCAGUCUCGCUCAAAGGCUUUGUAGGUGAAUUCAGAAUUAUACAUGAUAAGGUAAAAAUAUUUUGUGAUAGUCAAAGUGCUAUUUAUCUUGGUAAAAAUUAGGUGUACCAUGUAAGGACUAAAGUAUAUAGACAUAAGGUAUCAUAAGGUAUCACAAAUUAAGAGAGUUCACAAAUGAAGAUGAUGGAGAAAUUCAACUUAUAAAGGUGUCUACAAAGGACAACGUAGUUGAUAUUAUGACAAAGCCGGUAACAUCUGAAAAGUUUAGGCACUACCUAAACUUGGCAAAUUUAUAAGAUUGCUGAUGACUGGAAGCUCUAGGCAGAGAGGGCAUUAAGAUGAAAGAGACUGAAUGAAGAAUAAAAGAAGCCAAGGUGGAGAUUGUUGGUUAUAUAUCUUCUUUUGUAUAAGAUAUAAAGAUAUUUGUUUGGCCCAUAAGGUUUUUUGGACUACUAUGCAAAAAAGACAUAAAUAUGGAAGUUGGUUCAUGGUGCAUUUGGUCUACCAGAGUAUUUAAAGUGUGAAAAUAAUGGCUUUUAUUGGAGGGUGAAGUAUGCUUGUGUUUCAUACAUGCAUGCAUAAAACACAUGCUGCCAUGAUUAUCAAAAAGCCUAUACAUAGGCUAAUUAAGGAAAGUUGACAAUUGAAAUUGCCGACUUCAAUUGUAAAACUUCAUGCAUGCCUAUAAAAGACUUUCAACUCCAUAGAUAAUGCAACAAGAACAAGAAGCACAAGCAACAAGCAACGAGUGAAUUAAGUGAGGUGUUAGGAGAAGCAUGGAAACUUAAUUAGUAGCUUGUUGAGUUUCUCUCUAUUUAAAAAAAAAAAUUCAUUUGAGAUUAAGACGGAAAUUUUUUCUUGUAACAAGGGAAGGGUGAUAGUAAUUAAGGGUGAUAGAAACUAUAAGGCUCUUGUAUUAGAUUGAGAGAAACAUAAAGGUGUGAGCUUGUAUUUUUGUUUUCUUCAUAUAAAGGAUACAUCUCUCUUGCUCUCUCCGUGGACAUAGGCAACUUGCCGAACCAUGUAAAUCGCUGUCUCUUUUUCUGUGUAUUUUUUCCUAUUAUUUUUUGCUAUUUCUUUGUUUGUGUAUUUUUGUUGAUAGCACAUGCAGGACGAUUCUAACUCCCAACAACUGCUCCCUACGGCAACGGCAGUGGCAGUGGCCGCAGAGCACCAAGGUCGUGAUAUUUGCGAAUCAGCUGAGGCGGAACAACGAGGUCAUAAUGUUCGAGAGCAGCUCUGUUCAAGAAUUGGUUCCAAUUGAUCAGAGUGUCGACGAUUUGAGGAAUUUGGACUCUGUUGUGAAUCAACUCUUGCUUCUUGCGGACAAGUUACCUCUGAUGCCUGUCACGCGUCAGCAGCCGCAAAGUGAUGAUGGUGGCAAUAGUGAGAAUAAUAUCACUAGUGACAAUAGUACUGCUCGUGGCAGCAACGGCAACGGUAGUGGCAGUGGCAGUAGUAGGAAAGUUAUCAUGAAAGACGGACUUAGUGAACCGGCGAACAUUGGUGUCGUUGCUGGAGGGGUAGAGGCACAGGGGUAUGGGCAGGGACAGGGGUGGUGGUGGGUGUGAUUAUCACGACGUGAAAUCGAAUAGUUUCUGACGAGAAAAAGGGAAGAGCUAAAAAAAAGAGGAGUAGCAUCUCUGCCAUAGCCAACAGCGGGGUCCACACAUGCGAGAAGUGCGGGAUGACGUUCGCGACGGGGCAAUUGCUCGGUGGUCACAUGAGGAAGCACUACGAGGGCCCGCUGAUUAUAAACAAGAAAAGAUCUUGUGAACAGUGGAAGAAAAUGCUCGCCCUGGCGGUUGAGCUCAGAGUUCAAGAACUGGUUGCGCCAAUCGGCCAUACAAUGGCAAUGAUGACGGCGACAGAAGAGAGGAUGGCAAGUUACUUCAAUACGCCUUUAGAAUCACAUAAUCCUGAGCUUCUGUCGCAAUCCACCCAAGCAAGUGAUGGUGGUGAUUAUGCGAUGAAUAGAGAAGAACCUGAGAGGUUGUCGGCAAGCAACGGAGCUCGCCGUCUGCAUGACUUCGACCUUAAUGUGUCAACAAGGCCAAAAGAGGAGCCUGAGAACCUACUGCAGCCACAGUCGGAGAGGAAAGAUGAUGAUGGUAAUAAUGCAUUGCUCUCCUUUCGACUUGGCCACUUUGAUUUUUGAAGAUCUAGUCGUGUUUAAUUUUUUUCUUUUCGAUUACUUUUCCUUUUUUUCCUCCUUUGUUGAUUGGAAGAUUUCAUUUCGAAUAGUGCAGCCCUUCAAUUUUUUUGUAGUUCUUCAGAAGUUAAGAUAAAUAAAGAAUAUCUACCGUUGGGUCACUAGCAUUUGUAUUUGUUACUUCACUUAACUGUUUUUGCUCAUUUUGAUCAUUUGGAUAAGUCGUGAUGAUGUUUAGAAAAUUUACGAAAUCGUCAGUUUUACCUUUGAUUCUGGUUAAUUGCUAUCUUAAAAGAAGUAAAACUCAUGAAUAAGUUCUAAUUAAACUAGCUCUGCACUUACAAUUACAUCAUGCAAAAUGUUACAGCACAAAUUGGAACAAAGUUCUAUUUCACCAUGGUAUUUUAGUUCAAUGUUUCGGGAUAAAUCGUGUUAUUUCAUGCAGAAUGAUGCUAGUAUUUAAGUCAAUUUAUAUUGGUAGUUGAAUGGCUUAAUUGAUCAAUUAUUCUUGGUGUUUCACCAUGGUCUUUGGCUAUUUCAUGCAUUAGUUGGUGUUACUUUCUUAUUAUAGUUGUACCUUCUAAUCUACUUAACAUGCUAAUUAGUAAUUACUCCUAAAGUCAAUCUCUGAAAACCUCAUGAUUUUGUUUAACUAUUGCACAAAGGAAUCACUCCUUUCUUUUUUUGGUUACAAUAAUCUAGUUACAUAUUUCUUUUUAUUCUUAUUUUUCUUUAUCAAAAUUCGUAAAAAUGUAUAAAAUUUAUUUGAAUUAAAAGCACAUGCUUACUUGGGUUAUGGCUUUCGUUCUCUUCUGCUCGUGCUCUCGCUUUUAACAGUGCGCCAAGGUUCUCGUGCACAAUAAAGUCGGUGGGGCCGAGGAACAAUUUAGCAGCAGUUUUGGGCCCAGGGAAGAGAAGGGUGGGAUAGAGAAAAAGCCAUGGGUGGGGUAGAUGUAAGGUCACUGUUAGGGAGAGGUGAGAUAAACCAUAUGGUAGUGAGAGAUGUGGCUAUGGUUGUCACACCCCGGAUUACUCGUUUUCCCGGGCACAUUAACAGACCCGCCGUAUAUAUAGAAAUUUUUUCUGUAUACGAAGCGAAGCUGUACCUGUACCUAUAAUCAUACCACACUACAACCAGUAGUAUAGAGCUGCUAAAAGAAAACAUGUAAAUAACAAAGGUUCACUAUACAUACAUAAUAUCCUGGUAUACAAAACGCUCGCUCUAGCGAGAUACAACAUAAGUAUGUAUAAGAAUCCAAAAACCAACACUAUCUGCAGCGGGUGUGUCUCUAAGUCAGCAGCAACUGGGAAGGGAUCUAACUCGCGACUCCCUUUCCACGAUCAGUAUCAGUAGUAGCAGCAGCCGCAACCGAAGGCUCUACAAAAGAUCCACAACUGGGCAUAAGAACUACUGCAAAAAGAAAUAGUCCUCAGUAGGUAUCGCUACCGACCUCAACGGCUCACCCACUAAGUCUACAGAAGGUAUGCUCAAUGAUAGUAAAGAACUGAAAAUAAUCUACAGCUAUAUGCCACUAUACUAUCAUUAUCCAAUGCUAACUAUCUAUAGAAUAAAAUAAGCUCUGACCCAAUCUAACUAGGACUGUGAAUACACCCGUCCCAGGGACUGUGAAUACACUCGUCCCGCUUGUCGAAGCUAUACAGCUACCUCCACGCUCAGCCGUCUGUGGAGAGCAAGUCCAACCAAGACACAAUGACAGCAACGGAGACGCACGAAGCCCGACUCCGGAGUAGCACUCGUAGGCGCUACCCAACCGAGUAUGCAAGGGUAUCUCUGUCGAGCUCAAUCAGGCUCUCACAAGCUAUAGUCAAGUAAACAGGGUCUAACUGGUCUAACAACCAAACUCACGUGCCCUUGGCAUAAUCUGAUGCAAAAUCAGCAAUCUGGGUCCACCGUCAACCUCAACGGUAUCCGACAGUCCGGAACAGCCUAAACACUGCUGUAAAAAUAAACUUGGCAUCCCAGCACAAGCGUAAAUACAUUCUACACUAUCCUGGAUAUUCACCGCCCACAAACUGCGGUGAUACAAACAAAUUACGACUUCUAGAGCUAAAUCUUGUAGUUUUAACAUAUGACAGUGUAGAAGUGUUAGUUUUCUCCUAAGUCAAAUCCAAGUCCAACAUGUAUAAUUUAGCUAACAUCCUGAGCUUCAAUUCAGAUUUCAAAUCAUGCAUAUCAUAGAAUUAAGCUACUAAACAUGAUGAAACAAGCUAAACACAUGCUGUCCAACAUAGGCUUAGGAGAAAAUUCGUGUAUUUCGGUAACUUAACAUUCAACCCACCUCAACACGACACGACGACAGCCCGCAACUGCUAGAAACCCUGUCAAGGCCAACCAAGAUCACCAAAAUCAGCAACUAAACCACUCCAAAGAUCUACACAUCAAAAUCACCAAAACUUGGAUCAAAACUCUAAAAAUUCAGCACUUAAGCUAAUUUCAUCCAAUUCCAAUGUCAAAACUCACCUAUCAAUCCCCAAAUCCACAAUUCAGGUGAAGAACACUCUCAAAACUAGUAGGAAAAAGGUGGAGCAACUUCCGCUGGUUGAAAUUACAGCUCUCUCCACGAAUUGGUCCAUAAAACCAAAGAAAACUCAAUUUCAGGUCUAAAACAACAGCAGUCCAAAAGAAUAGUAAUUUGACCAAACUAACCUCAAUCAAAUGCAAUUAAAAUGGACUCUACGAAAUCUCCCAGAAGUCAGCUAACCACCAAACCAAGUUUUGCAGCAAUCUGAUCCUCCUACGUCGCACACGAGCCAAAACGUCGAAGGUCGUUGCUGGAAUUCUGCUGAAACUACAGUUCUCAAGCUUCAAAUUAUGGAAUUUGGAAAAUUAGAGGGGUUAAAGUGCAAAAAUAGGCCUUCUUUGUGAAGAAGAGGUGAAAAGGGUUCACUGAGGUCGAACUCUAGCUAUUUAUAGGGAGGAGAAAUGGUUAGAUAAACCCCAGGAACAAAGAACUCAAACCUGCUGUUCUUGCAGAAACGGGCACUUUCAGGCGCCCAAAACCCUUUCUGGGCGUCCGAAACCUCCAGGCUACACAAAGCUCCUACUUCGGUUCCUCCGCCUGCGGUCUGUUAUGCCCAUAUCCUGGUCUAGCGGACCUCACCUACCACCAGCCACAUGUCAGCACAAUCGAUAUUCACGAAGUAAACUUUCGGACACUCUUCUGGGCGCACGAAACUAGGAUCCGAAUUGGCUUCCAGUUCUGCUCAGUUUAGCACUUGAGUUCUGGGCGACCUAAACCCUGUUCUGGGUGCCCGAAACUGGCAAAACUCCAGUUUUGCUCAUUUAAGUGCGCCAAGUCUAUUUCUGCAUCCAUUUCAUGCGGAAACGACUUCGACCCAAUCCGACACUCAUCGGAUAUGUUGACCAGUCACUAAUACUGUAGCCAAUCCUAUCCAAACCUCCGGAACACUACAGUGGUAGAUGAGGGUUGUUCGGAUAAAAUAAAAAUAAAUAAAUUAAUUGGAUUUGGGUUUUGGGUUUUGACGCCUAUUUUUGGGGGCUCCCACGUCUAUUGAGCCGUUCCCGCAUUUAUUAAGCUGAUGCUCAAGAGUUGCAUCGCUAUUUUUGGAUAGAUGAUUAAAGAUGCUGACGCUUUGUUAAAGCGUCAUUUUAAAAGUGUCUUUGGAACCCUAUUUUCCUGUAGUGUUUGCAGACACCUUUAUAAGUUGAAUUUAGCUUAAUUGAAUUGAUAUCCGGUUGGUCUCAAGGCUGCAGGAUGUGCUGCUUGAGGAGCAGCAUGGCUUCACCAGACGUCGAACAACGCGUCAUAUACAUUGUACCAUCAGUUCAACAGCAUUGCAUUCAGAGCGCAAGACAAUGACUAUUCUUUAAACCGGGACGACAAGUAAGUUAGCACCAAAAUCCUCCUUGCAGAGGUGCAUGCGAAAGUACUAUUGUAACAUACCGAAACCUCGGUAAUUAAAUUCGAAUCUUGUUCAAAUUGACCAAAUUGCGAGGUUGGUACACUUCGGAGAGGUCGAAGGCAUCAAAUAAUGCAAAAUGCAUUACUGGGGAUCUUCGAGAGAUUUUGAAAAUCAAAAUCUGCAAACUGCAGGUUUUGUGCUCUCGGGGACCGGUCCCUGGUGGGAGAGACCGGUCCCCGAACGCGUAGGCAGCGAGAUGGCUGAGAAAUCGGCUAAGUCUUAAAAAAUCAGCUCUCGGGAAUCGGUCCUUGGGAGGAGAGACCGGUCCCCAAAGACCGGUUCCAUUGGGGGAGACCGGUUGCAUCGCGCGGAGCCUGCGCAGUCCGCGGGAGAAGCUCUCGGGGACCGGUCCCAAGUCGGGGAGACCGAUCCCUCACUGCAAAAAAUGCCCAGUCUGGGCAGUGUACUGGGAAUAAAGUGGAGGGGUCUUAUUGUAAAUGUUACAACACCUUAUAUACUCAACCCUUCUCCCUUUCCUCAGCCAAAACCCCCACUCCUCUCAUUUUCUCUCAUCUCUCUCUCUAGAACUCACCUAGGGCUUGAAGGAGAAGAAGAAGAAGAAGCUUGAGCAGGGAUUUUUGGUGGACUUGGUGGGUCUAGAAGCUCUCCAACAAGAAGGAGCUUGCUAGAACUUGGGCCAAGAUAAGUUUUUAGCAUGUAGAGCUCUAGGGUUUGGAUUUAAACUCUAAGUCUUGGAGUUUUGAGCUUCUUAGAGGCUUUAGAAGCAUGUUAGAGCCAUGAACACCAUGAAACCCUAGUUUUCUUCAUGGUGCUCUAAUGGAGGAUUUCUAGGGUUUGCAUUCUAAGUCUUAGAGAUAGUUAGGAUGGUUCUAAAUGAGCUUCUAGAGGUUAGGCAAUCUCUCUUUUGCUUGUUUUAGAGAUCAAAACCUAGGGUUUAGCAAUGGGUUUGGUUAAGGCACCAAAUUUGGGGCUUUUGCCUUCGAGUGUUUCUAAGGCAAAUUGACCUUGUAGAAACCUAAUUGGGGGUGUUCUCGACGCGUUGGACAACUCCGUUCGACGUUACGAAAAUGUUUAAGUAUGGUUCAUGUACAAAAGGCCUAAUAUGACACUAUUUUGGUUAUAGGACGUGGGAUCGGCUUUCGUAAAGUUUGGGAGUCGUCAUGUUCUACACCCACACGACCACUCGAGGUGCGUGGUGCAUUCCAAGGACCUCGAAAAUCCCUUUAUGUUUAAGUGUCCAUGUUUUGAGCAUAUGUAUAUAUUUGAGCAUUUUGCAUAAUAGGGUUAAAUUGUGAACUUUUUAUUGCAUGAUGUAAAUUCAAAUGCAUGUUAAAUAUUUGUAAGAAUGUGAGAAUGACAAACCCUAUUUAUGCAUGACAAGUGACAAGAACUUAGAAGGGUUAGUGAACAAAAGUGACACAUCGACAUAGAUCUAGUGAGUGACAUUGAUGAGUCUAGAACACUUAGAAAACAAGAGUGGCGUUUGGCAUGAGAACAAGAAUAUAGCACUUAGAAAAUAAGUGUGGCAUGAGUACAAGAACUUAGUAGUGCAUAUGACACUAGCCAUAGUAAAGAAUGCAAAGAAAAGAAUGAUUGAGUCAUUAUGACAUUUCAACCUUAGAGUUAAGGGUCAUUUGGGCAUGGUCUUCCUUAAAGUUAAGAAAUGGAUUGAACUUGGAAUCCUCAAUGUAGGAUUGAUCGUACUCACAUUUUAGUCCUUGCUCGAGGGUGGUAGCUCCCCUUCGGGCGAUAUGCUCCGGAGUCGACAUCACUGGGUUGUAGCGGGUAUCUCCUCAGAGGACGGUCCUAUCAGGUUGUAGCCGGUAUCUCCCCGGUUAAUAGGAUUUUGGGUUGGUGAGUUUGUUGAGGGCGAAACCUACGGGUUAGCCAAGAGAUUGGGUAAAGAAAUUGUGAUCCUGCAUUCAUCACGAGCAUUAUAUCGAGCAUCGCAUUUUAUAUUGUUCAAGCAUAUUAGUUGCAUUUGUUAGUUGGUUACUUUCCUUCUUCUAUUCUAUUAUGCCUGAUUAGACCUAGUGGGAUAGUCGGCGUGGUUGAUUGCCGAACCCACUGGAAACUUUGUUGUAGUUCUCACACCCCUAUUUCCACAGAGCUGGGACCGAACGAGCCGGCAGACGACCGCGGUAAGGGCAUCGCGCCCUAGGUAGAGACCGCCCGAGAUGUUUUAUUUCUUAGUUGCAUACUCUUUUGAUAUAUCAUCUUUUGUAUUUCGAUGAUUAUAGUUGUUAAAUGAAAGGACAUGAAUGAUGUAAAAGAGUUUAUUUAAUAUCCAUGUUAUAUUUUGGAGGAAUGAGAGGUAAAAAGAAAUGAUGCAAAAUUGUAAUUGAUUUUCUAAGUGUAGUUAUUUACUUUCACUAUUGGCUAUUGCUUGCCCUCGCGCAAGCCAUUGUGAAUGCUUUCGCUUAUGCAAACUUUAUACUCUAUUGAUACUUGUUGUUGAGCCUUGGGCGGACAGGGGAGGCUCUGUUCGUUCGGCGUCUGUUCGACGCUCUCGAACCGGCCAAAAAGGAUCGGGCUUGGGGCGUGAUAACUAUUUUGUUUAAAUUUGAUCAAUGGGCAACAAACAUUGCAUAGCAGUCUAAUUUGUUAAUCGUAGUACUUACAUGAGAUCGUGAGUUCAAGUCCUAACAUAUGUAUUUAAAAAAAUUAAGAAUUUAGAAUUCUGGGCGUCUCAAAUAAUAUAAUAUAUUCUUGUACCAUACAUAUAUUUUUAUAUUUUUUUAGAAUAAGGCAGUAUGCUAUCUCUUCAUUCAAUUUACAGGAUAAACUGGGCUACAUACGAAGGCAGCCAGGCCUAAUAAAAUAAUAAUAAUAAUAAUAAUAUAAUAACAGCCCCAAGCAUCAUAAUGAGCAUAUCUUGGGCAUCACUUGCCCCGGAGUGUGUGUAAUUUUCUCAAAAGUUCUUCUAUUCCGCUCCAAUCAUAUAACCCACCAUAUAGUGGAGAUUGAUAGUAAUUCCCAUCCCCUAGGAGCUUCACUCUUUAGACUACUCGCCUUCCAAAGCCAGCGGAUUGCAGUACAAUUAAGAAGAGCCAAUUUAUUUCGUAGCAGUCCCUCCAACAAGAGUCUGGUACUUUGGCACCUUGUGAAGAGAUGAUCCACUGUUUCAAUCUUGUCCCUGCAAAAAGCAAAGCUCUCCUCUCCACCCCAACCCCUUUUCAGCAGGUUGUCCAUUUUGCGCACCUUUCAUUUCAAAACUAGCCAUACAAAAAUCUUGAUUUUCAGAGAGAAUCUAAUCUUCCACAUUUAAACAAAGCUCCUAUUGUUAACUCCACCAUCAUGUAAGAAAUUAUAAAGCGAUUUCACCAAAAUAUUUUAUAUAAUUCCCAUUUCUAUCUGACUUCAUCCCUUCUAUUAUACAGUGUGAUAGUGGAAAUUGACUCUUUUAGCUUCGAGAUCAAGUCUCUAUCAAAUUGCGAGCUUGAAACAAAGCCUGACAAAAUUUGACGCUAUUUCCAUUUGUUAACUCUACGAAGUUCUUGAUUAUGUAGUUUUUACUCACUAUACUUUGUCAUAAUUAAAGGGUAUAAGGUUUGUAGUGGAGCUCGGUUGCUCCAGAUGUCUGUCCAAAAACUUAUUCGAUGUUUAUCUCCAAUUGAAUAAGACACUCCACACUUCAAAAUAUCCUAAGGCUUCGUUUGGUUCGGGAAUUAGUAGGAACUAGUUAUACCGGGGAUAGGUACAAGUAUGUGUUUUUGUAAGAACACGGGUAUUUUUUUGUUUGGAUGAAAUUGUGAGUAUAAGCUGGAAUUAGAAAAAUUGUGUUUGGAUGGUUAUUGGGAAUAAGAGAAAUAGUUGAUGGUUAUAAAUAGAAAAUAAUGAUAUUACCCCCAUAAUUAAAUUUAAAUUUUUAAAUUUUAAACUUAUAAUUUUAAAUUGAAAAUUUUAACUUUUAAAUUUUAAAAAUUGAAAUUAAAAUUUAAAAUUUAAAUANGUAUAAGCUGGAAUUAGAAAAAUUGUGUUUGGAUGGUUAUUGGGAAUAAGAGAAAUAGUUGAUGGUUAUAAAUAGAAAAUAAUGAUAUUACCCCCAUAAUUAAAUUUAAAUUUUUAAAUUUUAAACUUAUAAUUUUAAAUUGAAAAUUUUAACUUUUAAAUUUUAAAAAUUGAAAUUAAAAUUUAAAAUUUAAAUAUUCAAAUUUUUAAUUUUUAAUUUUAAAUUUGAGAUCAAAUUUAAAUUUGAAAUAUAUAAAAUAACAAAAUUUAAAAAUUAAAAAUUUAUAAGAACAAAUUUAAAUUUUAAACUUUAAAAUUUACAAUUUACAAUUUACAAUUUACAAUUUUAAUUUUAAAAUUACAAAAUUUAAAUUUUAAAUUUUAAAGCAAAACUCUCUCUAGAUCUCUCUCUCUCUCUCUCUUUCUCCAGUGGGUGGUUCCCAAGCUUGUUCCUACCCGGGGUGGGAACUAUUGUUCCCACCCUUUACCGGGUUAUACUAAGUAUAGUAUAACCCGGUAAGGAAUAGUUCCCACCCCUUACCGUGUUAUACUAGGUAACCCCACCCCUUACCCCCGCAGCAUUAACCCCACCUCUCUAGAGGAAAGCCAUCCAUAAAGCCUCUAUUCAUCGAAUUACCCAUUUGGCUGCUUUAAAAUUCAAGAAAAAAUAUAGUAGCAAGUUCGAGAGUACUAAGUUCACAGGGACUAACUUACCUCCUUGUGAGAGAAGUUUCGCUUACAACUGUACAAAUUUCAUUCAAGAUAAUCCCAGAACUAGUAGCUUCCAAGCUCAAUACACACCAGGUUAUAUACAUAAUCCUCUCAUAGCGUCAUCACCUAUAUUUUAACCACAUCCUUAAUUAUCUAAUUAAAUUCUUUGUCAUUUAUGACUAAUAAUCACCACCAACGUAAUCAGGAGGCCUUCUCUACAAAGACAGUGACAACAACCUUUAGUAUGCGAUGGCCGCUUCGUCCCUUCUGCUCACCUACGCCAAGUAGCUCCAAUCCAACGGCAUUUCAGUCUCCUGCAGCGCUUCUAUUGUAAUUGCUAGAAAGCUCAUCUCACUAGCCAAGAAACAGGUGAAUUAUAAUCCUUCCCUCCGAUCCGUCCAAACUGUCCAAUCCAUCUUAAUCGACCUAAAAUUUUUAAUUUUCUUAACUAUAUCUUUGAGUUUAGUUGAGUUCGACUAAGCGAGCAAUUUACUCUUAAUUGAUGUUACUAAAUAUGAUCUAACCUGGCAUGCAUGAUAUGCUACGGAGUAGUUACCGUGCAAUUCAAAUUAUAUGAUGACGUUGAAAUCUACUCUUCUACAGGUGGACUACAUACUGGGCCAAAAUUCUGCCAGAGUGUCGUACAUGAUCGGAUUCGGACGACCUUACCCUUGGCAUGUCCACCAUAGAGAAUAUUCAAUUCCUUCAGUGCACGCUCACUGUUAUCAUAUGUCAUGUAGCGAUGGUUUCGCGCACUCGUACACGAGAUUGCCUAACUUGAAUGUACUUGUCGAGGCUAUAUUGAGUGGAUUGGAUGAAAACGAUGGCUUUUCAGACGACAGGAACAGCUACCGGCAGUCUAAGCCCGCGACUUAUAUCAAUGCUCUGAUGGUCGGAGCACCCGCUUUCCUCGUGAGGACUUUGAUGGCAAGUUGAUUGGUUCAUCACUCACCUAGAAUUUGUACAGGAUAUAAUGCUGUAGUAUAUGGUGGAACUAGAGAUGCAAAAAGAAAGACUAGCUCCCCCUGAUUAUCAAUGUUAAAUCAUUUAAAGGCAUCUAUGUACAAGUACUGCCAGAUUUUAGUAAUAUUAUAAAAUUAAAUUAAAGCUUGAAUUAGAUCUUAGUUGUUCUUGAAUUACUUCCUACAAUCAUCUUGUUUAUUAAUUAGAGAAAUUUUUCUUUUUUACUUUGUUGUAAUGGUUGUGGCUCGUCUUAGUUUUUCUUUUCCCCUCUUAUUUUUUGUUUCGUUUGUUGAAGAUAAGACCAAACUAUUUGUUAGGAAAUUAGUUACUUAGAAUAAUCCUUUAUUUGUUUAGUUUGAUAAACAUGUGUUAGUUGGGUUGUUAAUCAAUUUGUUGGGUUGUUAGCAUUACAACCUAUUUAUAUUGGUAACCAUCUAGGCCAUUAAUGCAUCAGAGAGGAUCCAUCAAUUGAUCCAGCUUCUUCAUAUUAUUCUACCGCAUCUCUUCUUUUCUAUUCCUAAUUAUUUUUUAUGAAUCACACACACCAUAACAAGUGAGGUGAUCUUUUGAGUGUGCCUACCACCAUAACAAGUGGUAUCAGAGCGAGGUUUUGACGUAAGAAGAAGACGAUGGCGGUCAACAAUGUCGACGGAACCCAACCGGUUCUCCCAAUAUUCAAAAUGGUGAACUAUGAUUUCUGGUGCGUCAAGAUGAAGACGCUCUUGCGGUCACAAGAUCUAUGGAAUCUUGUGGAGAAAGGGUCCACAGAUGCGAGCCCAGAUAUCAUAAAGAAGGAUGCUAAGGCGAUUUCCUUAUUCAGUAGGCCAUUGAUGAAGAAAUUUUUUCUCAUAUUGUUGCGGCUAAGAAAGCAAAGGAAGCAUGAGACACACUACAAAUCAAAUAUCAAGGUACCACUAAAGUAUUAAAAGUUAAGCUUCAAACCUUAAAAAGAAAGUUUGAAACCACUUUUAUGCAAGAUGGUGAAAAUAUUCAUUCUUUCUUUUCAAGAACGAUGGAAAUCGUUACACAGAUGCAUACUUUUGGUUAUACUAUUACUGAUGAAACUGUUGUUGAAAAAAUUUUACGACGCUUAACAUGCAAGUAUGAGCAUGUUGUCUCAACAAUAGAAGAGUCAAAAGACUUUUCUAAAUAUUCAUGUAGUGAAUUACUUGGAUCCCUUUUAUCACAUGAAGAACGGAUGGAUAGGCCUCAUGAAAAUUUUAUCGAGAAUGCUUUUAAGACUUAGUUGAAUAUUUCUCAAGAUACAGAAAAAGAUAAUACAGAUUGUAACCGACAAGCAUCAUCAUAUCGAGGUCGUGGUAGAGGACGUGAUCGUGGCCGUGGCCGCGAAAAUAGAGGUGGAGGUAGAUCUGGGGUGACGGAUCAACGAAGUGGCGAUAGAUCAUAUGGAUCCAAUCAAGGUAACACUUAUAAGAAUAUUCAAUGCUAUUAUUGUAAGAAAUAUGGCCACACUGAAAAAUUUUGUAGAUUGAAAAAGGAGAACAAUGCAUCGAUUGAUGCUAAGUAUGCGGAAUCUGAUGUCCUUUUUGCUUGUUAUACUAUAAACAAUUGUUUAGAAAAUAUCUGGUAUUUGGAUAGCGGUUGUAGUGCUCACACAUGACAGGAAGAGAAGAUCUAUUUAUUGAGAUGGACAGAUCGAUACAGCAACCGAUCAAAAUGGGAGAUAGCUGAGUUCGUGAAGCACAAGGAAAAGGAGUGGUGAAGGUAAAUUACUAAAAUAUCGAAUGUUCUUUAUGUUCUUAGAUUAGAUGCAAAUUUAUUGAGUGUUGGCCAAUUUCUUACGUUUGGAUAUUCUUUAGUGUUUGAAAAUUCUAAAUGCCUUAUUUAUGUAGAUGAUAAGAAAAAAAAAUUACUUGCUCAAAUUUCCAUGGCAAAAAAUAAGAUUUUUUCCAUGCAUGUUGAUUUUCAAAGUCAUGUUAUGAAGGCAUCUAUUGAUGAAAAUUGGUUGUGGUAUGAAAGGUUUGGGCAUUUGAGUUUUGACAUAUUGGAGCUUCUACAUAAGACGGAUAUGGUUGACGGUUUGCCACUAAGUGCACAUGACGGAUCGUUUUGUGAAAACUGCAUAUGCAAAAAGCAUCAUCGAAAUCCUUUUCCAAACAGAAGCUCAUGGAAGGCAAAGAACCCGUUGGAUUUAGUACAUGCAGAUGUGUGCGGCCCUAUGCAAACCCUCUCAUUAAAUAAUAAUAUUUAUUUUGUGGUAUUCGUUGAUAAUUAUAGUCGUAUGACUUGGGUUGAUUUUAUAAAGAAAAAAUCCAAUGCUUUCUUAUCUUUCAAAAAAUUUAAAAAUAUGGUGGAAAAAGAAUCGGGUUAUAAAAUAAAAACUCUCCGGACAGAUAGAGGUGGUGAACUUAUUUCUAACGAAUUUGAAAUUUUUUGUGAAGAAACUGGAAUCAUAGGCAAUUGACGAUGAGUUACACCCCACAGCAAAACGGAGUAGUGGAAAGGAAAAACAGAAGUCUGGUAGAGAUGGCCAAGAGCAUGUUGAAGGCUAAACAACUACCAAAUAAAUUUUGGGCAGAAGCAGUUUCUACAGCAGCUUACAUUUUAAAUCAGAGUCCUACAUCGUUUUUGGGGAAUAUUACUCCGUAUGAAGUAUGGACCGAACGAACCCCGAAAGUAAAACAUUUUAAAAUUUUUGGUUCUAUCGCUUGUGUUCACGUACCAACUCAAAAACGACAAAGCUGGAAGAUAAUUCACAAAAAUGUAUUUUCGUGGGGUAUAGUGUUAGAAGUAAGGCAUACAUACUUUAUAAUCCCGUUUCAUGUUCUUCAGUAAUUAGUCGUGAUGUAAUAUUUGAUUUGAUGAACAAAAUAGUUAGCAGUGGGAUGAAGUUGUGCAGGAUCGACUUGUUGGAAUGGUUGAUGAAGAAUUACUUAUAACUAAUGAGAUGGAAAGUGCGAGUUCGAGCCCCACUCACACUUCAGCAAGUUCUUCAACAAGUUCAUCUCCCAAACCAUCUCUAUCAAGGAUGAGGUGGUUGGAGGAAAUUUAUGAAAGAACAGAUGUGUGCCAAUUCAGUUCUAAACUGGAACCCGAGAUCUUUGAAGAUGCGAUAAACUCACCAGAUUGGUGCAAAGCAAUGGAUGAGAAGAUAUCGGCGCUAGAGCAGAAUCAAACCUAGGAACUUGUAGAUCUACCCCCAGAUAAAGAAGCUAUCGGCUUAAAGUGGAUUUAGAAAACCAAGUUCAAGCCCGACGGAUCAAUUCAAAAAUUAAAGGCUAGAAUUGUUGCCAAAGGGUAUUUACAACGAGAAGGUAUUUGUGAGGAUUGAGAUUUUGAGGUGUAGCUAGACUCUUUGUUGAUGAUGUUUUUAUGUGUAAUUUAAUUAUAUAAGCACUCGCCAAGUUUUAGGAGAAAAUGAGUUAAGAUGGAGAAGUUACGCGACCUUUAGUAAAAACUUAAGUGAAUUUAAUAGUAACUCGGGUUUUCCGGAGAGGCCAAUCAGUGGAGAUGGCUUCUGAUGCAUAUUUGACUCCGUUCAUAGUGAUCCAAUAGCUUGUUUUCAACGGUUCAACUAUUUUGGACCCAAUGGCACUGACGGAUUUGGAUUUUGAUGCACGAUUUUUGAGAAAAAAGGGGUUUAUUAGAUUUACAUAUAUAUAUAUAUAUAUAUAUAUAUAUAUAUAUAUAUAUAUAUAUAUAUAUAUAUAUAUUUGUGUGUGUGUGUGUGUGCNGUGUGUGUGGUUUUUGGAAUUUGGUGAGGGGAUGCUUUCAUCACAAAUCGAUGAACAUAUCGGGUGAAACAAAAUCGUGAGUUCGAUAUCCCGGUCGUGUCGAACGCGUGGGCGCAGUCUGUUCGCAAAUCUGACGGACGGAUCUUCUGAUAUCGCGCGUUGAUUAAGGAGGGGUAGUUAAUGGCAAAACGGUAAUUUUGCGAUAAGCCAUACAUUUUAUAUACCGUUUUACGUGAAAUCGUAAGUGGGGGUGUGUUCGCGCAUUUUACUCGCGCUAUGAGGGACUCAGCUGAAAAUACUGAGUUUCGGUGGACUAAAACAUAAUUAUACAUGAUAUGUAUAUAGGGUCAUCUAUGUUUGCACCAUGCAAACCCUAACCCUAGCACCCGAGUUGACCUCUCCAGCCGCCUCAACUCUACCCCCUGCCCUAGCCGCGUGCACCUCGGCCGCCGGCGCGCACCUCCAGCCGCCGAAAAAGGGCAACAUUUCCUUCCCUCUCUAUAAGCUCCACUAAAUUUCCAUCACCCCUGCCGUGGACCACCAGGCCGGACCCACACCCUCAGGCUCCUUCCCCCUGCAGAGAGCCGACCUCCGGCGACUCCCCCGCCAGCCCCCGCCGUCCGCGCGCGCCGCCGCCUCCGCCUGGGCUAUCCGCGGCCACCCGCGGUCAACUCGGGCCGAGCUUGAGCUAGCUCGUGGCCGCGAGCUGCCACCGCCUCGUGAUUGGCCACGCCGCUCUCCUGGACCUCUGGUGACCUCCCGCACGCCGUCGCCACCAUCCCCGCGGGCCCCCGACCGCGGCCCUUGCUUCCUGCGGCCGCUAUGCACGAGCUCGAGCUGAACCACGGCUCGCAUAGCCCCCGUGUGCCGCCCUUCCCCGAUCUCCGGCUACUGGCCGCCGUCGUCCCGGUGCUCCCCCGGCCGCCGUUUAGCUGCCGUUGACCUUUGAGCCGGAGCUGAGCCGCACAGGCUCGUGCCUCUCCACCGCGCUAGCGGUCGCCUCCCACCGCCGGCCAGCAUGUGCUCGGGCCUCCUCCGACCGACCGCAGCCUCCCCCUGCCGGCGCGUCCGCUGUCCGGCCACAGCCGGCCAUCCCGUGCUCCACCUAGCUUCGGUGAGUUAAUUUAAUGAUUUUUGCGCACUGUUUCGAGUUCGGGUCGCUGUUCCGGCGAUCCGAGAGCACCCCGACGCUCCCGAAAGUGAGCACGACGAUCCCUGAUCUAUGCUGAUCAUCAUGCUCACCUCCUUUGGGGUCAGUGAAGCCCCGGUGUGCGAGUUAAACGCUGUUUAGGCAUUGUGCGCUCUAUUUGCAAAGUUUCGUGUCGCUCCCGCACUCUCUAUAGUGGACGGCCAUGCUUUGAAUCAUAAGCGCGGCCUCUGGCACAUCGAGACCUACCAACAGGUGUCUCGGCCAGGCUUGAAAGUCCUCGGUUUGCGCUGUCGGGCUGUAAAACCCCGAAAAUCACAUAAAAUGAUGUGAUUUUUUGCAAUCGCGGGGGCUGAUAUGCAAUUUUACCCUUCGUGGCUGUUGUGGGCAGUGUGUGUGGGCAGCGGGUGACCUCUGGACUGGUUGUCCAAGGCCCUAGGCUUUUUCAGAAAUCAAAUAUCGAUUUUCGGUGCCUCUUUCGACGAAAUCCGCCGACGGAACGCGAUUUCAGUUCGAAUUUCUUUCGACCGUGGCUUACUGUGAUUUACAUUGUCGCUGAUUCUUAUUGGCUGGUCACUUGCGUCAUUUCGAGGGUUCGAAGACGACGGGUGAGCGACGGUGGGUUCCGGUGUUGAAAUUGACACUUCCGGGAACUCGGAUUGGAAUGAUUAUCCAACGAUAAUCGUUUUGAUGUGAGUAUUCGUGUUUGCUACCAGGACACCUUAAUUAUAGUGUUGGGUGGCAGCGGGUGACUCGUGGCAUGAGUCGGUGAAUUUCGGGACACUUCGUGGGUCUUGGCGGAGUCCCAGUACGAUUUUCGGGACUUCCGGCGAGUUACGGUAAUCGACGUAGGGGAACCGAUUCCUGUGGGUUUACAGGUGGGAAUGUGAGUUUGUAUUUUAUAUAAGUGGGUUAGACACUAACCCAGUGGACCCUCUGUAGGUUCGGUUGAUGUUUUUCCACAGUCGGGAGACAGGUGCUACGUACGUACAGGUGGAUACUUCGACCCGAAGUCGGUACAGUGGUGCACACUUGGUGACAUUCCCUUCACUCUUUCCUUAUUAUUACCUUACAUGUUAUAUGUUGAGCCUAACAUCCAUACCGUAUUUCUUUAUUGCUCUACUUAGUUGGUUUGCAUACCCAGUAUCAUAUUUUAGAAGUAGAGCGGGUUUGUGAUUAUUUGUGAGAUCUAUGACCUAGUCGGUCGGUUCAUUGCAUCUGGUAUUGUUACCUACUUGGUCGAUUGGACUACUUGGUGACCUACAUGGUCAGUAUACCCUGAGGGGUAGGAUUGUCAGCUAGUUGUCGACGGUUGGCUAUUGAGCAUAUUAGCAUCGAUCGCCACUGCUCGUACGCAUUUUACGAACACCAACGGUCUGAUCCACCGCAAGAGGAUAUUCUUUUCCGAAAAAGUAGUUGGAAAUGCCAGCUCGUGAGUCUAAGAGCGUAUGCUAGGGUUAUAUACUUUCAGACCCAAGAGCUUAUGCUGGGGUCAUAUAUCUUUCAGAACCAAGAGCUUAUGCUGGGGUCAUAUGCCUUUUAGACCCAAGAGCUUAUGCUGGGGUCAUUUACAGGUUAGAGCAGUAGUGGCAUAGGCCUAAGGUCUGCGGACCGAUAUGGCAGGUUUCUGAUUCGGUACUCUUGGACUUAUUGUCCUGUUGAUGCAUGUAUACAGUAGCGGUAGUGAUUUAUUGUAUCUCCUGUUUCCUUACUUAUCAUUGCUACUGUAUGACUGUUGUUCAUUCUUUUAGUUAUCCUCCUUGACUGGUGAGUACCCCUCGUUCUCGUCAGCUUGCGUUACCCACUGGGAGGGGAGACAUGUGUACAUGUUCUCACCCCCACCCUCUUCCAGGUGACGUUGCGGGUCCGAGUCGGGACGGUGUGUGAGGAGCGCAUUUCAGCGAUCGAUAGAGCUACCGACCCUUUGAUUUGGUUUAAUUCUUAACCUGGUUUUCUUAAAAUAAUUGACGUAGUAUUCAUGGUUCAGUUGGUUCUAUGUUUAUUUGAAUACACGUGGUUUUGGUGAAAUUAAUAAAGUAAUUGUGGUUUUCAUGUGAGAUUAUGAAAAUAGUUUCUAACCCUCGUGGUAGUGUGUUUUUAAAAGAAAAUGAUUUCCGUGUGGGAAACGGUAUUGAAAAGAUUUUUUUGAUUUUCAUGACUCUUAGUGUUUCAAAAUGAGUUUCCGGCUAGGAAACGUUUUAAACUAAUAGAUGUGAAUUUAUGAAUAUCUGUGAUGAAAUGAAUGGUGAAUGUGAAUGGUGAAUGUAUGUGAUUGUCAUACUGUUGUGGUUGUAUCUUGUACUUGUGCAACGCUGUGCAAAUACAUGGGAGACUCUGUCCGUGUGAACAGUGAAUUUUCUGUAUUUGUGGCGGAUCUGACAUACUCUGGGGUGAAGGUUUAAAAAAAAAAAAAAUUUGGGAACUUUCGCGUUGGCUUUUAAUUUCAAAAAGGAACCCUGGGGCGUGACAGUAUUGAUUUUUCUGAAUCCUUUGCUCCAGUUGCUCGUUUUGAUACAAUAAGAAUAGUUUUGGCUCUUGCGGCUCAAUAUAAAUGGAAAGUUUUUCAACUUGAUGUUAAAUCUGCAUUUUUAAACAGUUUUUUGGAUGAUGAAAUUUAUGUUAAGUAGCCUCAGGGAUAUGAAAUUAAAGAUAUGAAAAAUAAAAUGUAUAGGCUCAAGAAGGCAUUGUAUGGACUCAAAUAGGUGCCGCGGGCUUGGUAUACUCGAAUUGAUGCCCAUUUUCUUCAAAAUGGUUUUAGCCGAAGUGAAAGUGAGCCUACACUUUAUGUGAAGACCCAAGGUACAAAAGUUCUGGUUGUUUGUCUUUAUGUUGACGAUUUAAUAUAUAUUGGUAACUCGCAAAAAAUGAUUGAUGAAUUUAAGUUUCAUAUGGUGCGAGAGUUUGAAAUGACGGAUCUCAAUUUGAUGAACUAUUUUUUGGGUCUUUAGGUUGUACAAUUAGAGAAAGAAUUUUUAUUUCUCAAAAGAAGUACAUAUCUAAUUUACUUGACAGGUUUGGUUUGAAGGAUUGUAAUUCGGUGGCAAAUCCGAUGGGAACAAAUUUGAAAUUGUCAAUUAAUGACGGUGCUGAAAAAGUUGAUGCCAAUAAUUACAGAAAUCUAAUUGGGAGUUUACUAUAUGUGACACACACGAGGCCAGAUGUUUUAUUCUCAACAAAGCUUGCUUUCUCGAUUUAUGCAAAAUCCGAGUAAAAUAGGCCAUUUGGGUGGAAAAAAGCAAAUCCUACGAUAUUUGAAGGGGACUAGCGGCCAUGAAUUAUGGUUCACUAACUCUAAAGUUUUUUCUCUUUUUGGUUUUUCUGACAGUGAUUGGGCAGGUUCUAUCGACGAUCGUAAGAGCAUAAGUGGAUAUAUGUUCAAGCUCAAUUCGAACGUGGUGUGUUGGUCCUCAAAAAAACAACAUCCGACGGUGUUAUCUUCUUCUAAGGCUGAAUAUAUUGCGGUUACUGGUGGAACUUGCCAGGCUAUUUGGUUGCGGCGAAUUUUAUGUGAUCUAAAGCAGAACCAAAUGGAUUUUUCAGACAGUCAUCUACUGCGACAACCAAUCUACGAUCGCCAUGAUAAAGAACCCAGUGCACCAAAAUCGCACCAAGCAUAUCGAAAUUCGAUACCAUUUUAUUCGAGACCAGUUGGCAAACGGCAAUAUCAUGUUGAAGCAUUGUUCGACUGACCAGCAACUAGCAGAUAUUUUCACUAAGUCAUUACUAGUGGCGAAAUUCGUUUGGUGUCGUGAAGGACUUGGCAACAACGAAUUUGGUCUUACAGGGGCAUGUUAAAGAUAAGACCAAACUAUUUGUUAGAAAAUUAGUUACUUAGAAUAAUCAUUUAUUUGUUUAGUUUGAUAAACAUGUGUUAGGUGGGUUGUUAAUCAAUUUGUUGGGUUGUUACUGUUACAACCUAUUUAUAUUGGUAAUCAUCUAGGCCAUUAAUGCAUCAGAGAGGAUCCAUCAAUUGAUUUAGUUUCUUUAUAUUAUUCUACCGCAUUUCUUCUUUUCUAUUCUUAAUUUUUUUUUAUCAAUCACACGCACCAUAACAAGUGAGGCGAUCUUUUGAGUGUGCCUACCACCAUAACAUUGUUUUCCUGUUUUGUGGUUUUCUUUACAGCUUGCUUUGCGGAGACGAAGAAAUUUAUGAUCAUUAUAGAUUAACGUGUUUUUUUUUUUUUUUUUUUUUUCUUUCUUCUCUUGAAUAAACCCAAGUACCACACGAAGGAAGACACUUCAAUUUAAAACUCUAAUUAAUUAUUAAGAACGUUUAUGUUCCAAAAUUAAAUGAAUAAGGGUUAAGAAUAUUUGUCCAAUGUUGAAUUCGAACUUUUUUUAAUAUAAUUUUAGAGCUCCGCUUACGCCUCUUUUGUAGCCCGACAUCUUUUGGUUCGGUCUAGUACUGACAACUAAUUUCGUCUUGUUCUAAACUAGUUCAUCUAGUUCUUUCACUAUUUGAAAUUAAUCUAGUUUACACUUUUUUGGAGCCACUAUCUUUUGGUUUGGCCCAAUUAUGACUAAGCUCAUACAGUUCUAAACUAGUUCAUCUUAUUCUUUAAAAAUGUUGUCAUCUAUCAGUUAUUGUCUGGUUUAGUCAAAAAAUUUUAAUUUUUUAUAUGCUAUAUUGAGUUUGUGCCACGUAUUAGUAAAAAACUAGUACGUGUCAAAAGAGCAUGGUAAAAAUAUUAACCAGUACAAAUCAGAAUACACCUAGUAAUGUAGGUUUUUUGAGUUGGAUUCAAGCCCUUUAACAAAUGUUACAAUUUCAAUGUACAAAUAAUUUAUUAGUCUUCAUGUCGAUACAUUAUAUAAUCAUACAACUUGCACUUCCACUUUCACUUCAUUUUUUUUUAUGUUCUGCAAAGCCAAACAAUAAAUAUAUACAUGUAUCUUCCAAGCACGUACAUGACCACUUACCCAGAUUUUGUGCACACUCUUGCGUCCUUGUACACUUUCCCGGGCCUGCAAUAAUACCCUCUAUCCGGGGCGCAAUGCGCGUCCUCCGAGCAUAUACACAGCCCUUCUAACGCGCAUCCUUGCUUGUAUAUGCUCGUCCUCCCCUUAAUCCCGAGCACUUGAUCCGUCCACUCGCUCGAGAACAGCCCCUGCGGAUCAUACUCGUUUUUCACCCUCAAAAACUCGCCGAUCUUCGGGUACUUGGCGAUCACGCCGUCGAACGCGAUGUUCCGGUUCUUGCCCCAGUGCGGCAUCCCGCCGUACUUGAAGAGCGCCAUCUGCUCCACCUCCUCCAGCACGUCCUCGUAGAGCCGCGGCACUGCCGGGUCGUGGCUGCGGUAGUACGUGAUGUCGAAGUCGAGGCAGUCGUCUUGCUUGCCCAGGUAGGCGGAGGAGGACUUGACGUAGCGCAUGAGGAUGCCGUUGUAGAGCUCGACGCCGCAGAAGGCCUCCGGGUUGAGGUCGCGGAGCUUCUGGACGUCUUGGAUGAAGUCUUUGGCUUCGGACAGAGGGAUGCUGACGGUGGUCUGGUGGAAGAACUCGCCCCUCACGCGCGGGUCCCACGGGCAGGCCGUCAGGAGGGCGUCGUCGGGGCCGUCGAGGCAGCCCCCCGAGGACUGGAUUUUGUUCUGGAAGCCGACGACCGGGUAGCCCGUGAACAGCAGGCCGUUGUUGGUCAGGCCGUAGCCGUCAAUGGCGAUCGCCGACGUUGUCAGCCUCGAGUACUGGCACCUGCCGCCCGCGUUGCCCGUGGCUUCCAGGCCCUCCUCUUUCAUCAUGUCGUAAUUGUAAGUGCAUUAAUUAGAACUAUUAGUAGACAUCAAUGCCGUAAAUAAUUUUGACUUUAUCAUACAUUUGGAUUAGGCAUUCGGGACACGGAACAUAAAAAACGACAUGACGUUAACUUUUAAAAUGUUAGAACAUGGAUACAAAUGAAUACUGCUAUUAAAAUAUAUCUAUACUAUAUAUAAAAGCACAUAUUUUAAAUUUCGACCCGUCGACAGACUUAUUUUUUUGGCAAAAAUUGAAAAAAAAUUGAUUCCUCUUUUGUUACAUAAAAUAAAUAACAGAAUUGAACAAACUUUUAAUUCCUCUUUAUUUCUAAAACAGAAAAAAAAAAUUAUGCUUAUCUAAACUUUUGCCUACAACAGAAAAAAAUAUAUGCUUAUCUAAAUUUUUACCAAUUGAAAAAUAUCUACUGUAAAUUUAUAUUUUAAUUCAAAAUUUGUUUAAUUCUUUUUUAUCUCUAUCUAUAAUAUAAUAUCUACACUAUCUAUACUAUAUAUAAAAUCACGUAUUUUAAAAUAGUAAAAAAAUAUACUUAUCCAAAUUUUUGCCAACCGAAAAAUAUCUACUAUGAAUUUAUAUUUUAAUUAGAAAUUUGUUUAUUUUUUUUAUCUCUAAAAUAGAAAAAAAAAUUAUGCUUAUCCAAAUUCUUGCUUGACUAUCUACUGUAAAUCUAUAUUUCAAUUCAAAAUAUAAAAUUAAUUUAAAUUUUGGGACUAUCAACAUAUUACAAAGGAAAUAAUUUAAAAGAUAGAUUAGUUGAUAAAUUUAUAAAUCAUAAUUUUGAAUUAAUAUGAUGUACAAAUUUAUAAUCAAUUUGUAAAAUAUUAUGAUAAAUUGGUUAAAAAUAUUUGAAAUAAAAAUAAACGAUCAUAAUCAAUCUGUUAAAAAAUAGUACUUUUAUCCAUCUAUUUUAUAUUAAAAUUUAAAUUUGAGUUCAAAUUAUGAAUUAAAUUUAAUUUUUAAUUUUUGAUAUCAAAUCUAUUCAUCUAUUUUACAUUAAAAUUUAAAUUUGAGUUUAAAUCGUGAAUUAAAUUUAAUUUUUAAUUUUUGAUAACAAAAUUGAAUUUAAUUAUAUAAUGGAUCAAAAUUAAAUUUUAAAUUUUAAAAUAAAUGUCAAUUAAAUUUUGAUGCUUUUAGUUUAAAACACUUAUUUAAAUUUUAGAUUUAUUAGAAAUUAAAAAAUAUAUAAAAAUAUCUAAUGUAUAUAAAAAAGAACAUAUUGUAGAUAUUUUCUAAUAAAAUAUAACAUAUAAAUUUACAAAAUAUUUUGAUUCUAAAUUCUUAAAUCAAUAUAAUUUAUAAUUUUUUAUUAAUUUAAAAUAAAUUAAAAUAAUUAUUACGUGUAUUUGUACGUACACUCGACUAGUGUAUAUAUAUAUAUAUAUAUAUAUAUAUAUAUAUAUAUAGAGUUGAGCUAGAAUACUCUCAAAAGCACCAAUGAGAUAGUGCUUUUGAGUUUUUAACCAUUGGAUGGAGGAAUGUAAGGUUGUGAUGAUGGUAGUAGGUGAUGGUAGGUGGAAUAGUUUUUGAUCCAAUGGCCAUUAGUAAUCAAGGAGUAGAUCUACGAGCUAGAAACCUAAAAACACCAAUGGGGUGAUACUUUUAAAAGUAUUCUAGUUCAAUUAUAUAUAUAUAUAUAUAUAUAUAUAUAUAUACGUAUAAUAUAUAUAUAUAAUUAGGCUAAUAUACUAUCUAUAGUACCGGAGCUUCGGUUCUAUAGUCUUGUUUUUCAUCUUGGGGUAUUCAAAUUAACGAUCAACACUGUCAAAAACUAAUCUAGGGUAAUAUUGAAGUUCUUAGGAAUAAAAUUUUAGUUUUUUUCGACAUCGUUUACUUAGUAAAUAAAUUAUUCAAAUGGACGGUGAAAAUUGAAUAAUCUUUAAAAUUUGAGCAUAUGACUUUUAAAAUUCAAGAUCAAGAAUGUUAACCUUAAUCUAGAUAGUUUAAAAUAUUUUCUAUCAAAAUUUGAAGAAAUUUAGAUUCUUCUGCACCGUUAAACUCCAAACUCGCUAUAGUAGCCAUUGAAAAUUGACAAUUUUGAAAUGGUUUGAUCAUAAAGUAAACUAUAUUGAAAAAUUAUAAAAUUUUAUUUCUAAAAUAUUUAAAUAUUCUAGAUCAGUUUUAACGGUGUGGAUUAUUGAUUUGAACACCCUAAAAUCGAAAACGAGACAAUAGUACCGGACCUCCGGUACUAUAGAUAGUAUAGGAGACUAGCUCUCUCUCUCUCUCUCUCUCUCUCUCUCUCUCUCUCUCUCUCUCUCUCUCUCUAUAUAUAUAUAUAUAUAUAUAUAUAUAUAUAUAUAUAUAUUUGUCUUGCUAAAAUAAAGUUAUAUUUUCCAUACGGAUAAAAAGUAAUAAAUCUUUUAUUUAAUUCAUAUGUUUUAAAAAAAAUAUUUCUUCUCUAUAUAUAAUUUAUUUAUAUUGUCCAAAAUUUUUUUUAUGUUUUCAUCAAAAAAUCAAAAUGUUUCUCAUCUUAUAUUAUAUAUGCAUAAAGAAAAAUAAAAAUCAAAAUAUUUUUUAGUGGAAUGACUAAUGGACUUGCAUCGAAUGUGUGUUCAUAGUGUGUUUGUGUUGAACACGAGUCUGGCAUGGAUACGUCGGUGUCCGACAGGGGCAUGCAAGACUUAUAAAACUGUCAGUAAUACAUGGCAUUUGGAAAAUCUUUUGGAAUGCUUAGAGG
rnacentral:lncRNA from 1 species